CACUAUCGGUAUUUUUGUUGGCAUCUAAUGAAGUCAACAGUUUAGAGAAUUGACCAUACACUGACUCUUUAUUAUGAUAAAAGAUAUUUCUGUUCAGGAAGAGUAAGGGAAGAAAAAUACCGAAAAGCUGUUCUUUCACUCCUUGCAGAUAUGCUACCGAAAUCUGCAGCUAAAUGAGAUUAGUAGAAUGAGCGUUCGAGUCUUUAGAACUCAGAAGUAAUAUCUAGCAAUCUUAGAUGUUAGGAAGUAGGAACACUUUCCUUCAAGAAGCAAACCUAGUUUUAGUCAAUAAACCUUCAACACUUGAGUAAGAUAUGGUUAGUAGAUUUGGCAUCACUUUUCGGAAUUUAACAGUUUGGACAAUUCAAUUGUCAAGUGAUCAAGUGUAAGUUGACGAUGCCUUGAAUCACCAGGAAAAUGCAAUAGUUUGAAUAAAAAAUAACGCUUCCAUACCAGACUGUUGAGUCUCAAACCACUACUGAAUAUUUUGAUUAGACUAUUAAAUAGUGUGCAUAGGCUAGAAAAGUUAGUUUUACACCUUUAGCCAUAUAUAUUGAUACUGAGAGCGCAAAAGCCUUAGUCUAUUGUGCAUGAGUAUCCCUGAGAAGCUCGAAUCUACUUGCAAUGGAAAGCAACUUCUUGGUGACUUUGAUCAAAGUCUGAAGUACAUGGUGCGGGGGCGUGCUGGUCAUAUACCAGCAUGGUACUUGCUGCAGUAUAGCUCUGUAUUGACUCAAGGUUUGUUGAUAGGCAUCAUGUCACAGUAGGUACUGAUGCACAUAUUAGUAUGCCAUGGUAUGUUCUUGUAGUCAGUUCUUUAGACCUUGCUUUCUGUUACAUGUCAUAUUGGAUUGACAAGAGGAACACGGUCUUGAUCCUUGAUCUAGUGAGACGACAAUGGAUGGCCCAAUACUAAAACAGAAGGCAAGAUUAUUGAAUAUCCAAAAAUCCAAACAAGUGAUUUAGAUUCUUGUACUAGGUCCUAAGAAAAUUUUUGCUCUUCUCUUAAUUAUUUUGGAGACUAGUCAUCGGAAAGGAGCUAAAUUAUGAAACAAAAGUUCCAGACAGAUGGAGUGUGUGAAGAAUUUUCUGAAAAUACAAGGAGACUGUUGGCAAAAUAAGAUGACUAGCUGGAGGAGUCUUAUUGGUAGAAAAGAACUAAUGAGACCACUGUAGAGAUUACCAAAGAAAAAGUGAAAUUUUCAAUAAGAACCGGCAAAAGAUAUGGACUUAUGAGUUACCUAGGUAUAGGCCUUCACCACUCAUACAGGAACAUGCUGGGAAACCAUAGAUGAAUGGAGACAAAUGAGAGCCAAGAUAUUUAUUCAUAUAGUUGAACAACACUUCACGAAAACCCAUGAAUCUCAAUACAUGCCAAGGCAAUCUUUUUUUUUCAUAGACUCAGGCUUUACAAAGAUCAAAUAUUCUUUAACAAAACAUAUUCAUAAUUAUGGUCUGUUGUGCUAGUACUGGUUGUCUGGCGGCACAGGUCGGUAUAGGCCCGCGCCGUGCCAUGCCGGGCCUGUAUCGACACAGUAGAGGAGGCGGGGGAGAGGGUGAACAAGAGUGAGGAAAAGAGAGAGAAGGGGGAGAGAGGGAGGGAGGCCGGUGGAGGCUGGCUCCUAGGUAUUAGGUAGAGGCUGCAACCAUUCUCCUAUUUUGUUCAAAAUAGAGUUCCGACCGCUAAAAUCUUCACGAUUUUGAAGCGAAGUUUGAGUUAUAACAGCCGGACCUUUGUUUCGAACAAAAUAGAGAAACAACUAUGGCCUCCGCCUGCUGCCUUCCGCCGGCCUUUCGCCGGCCUUCCUCCCUCUGCCUCCCCCCUCCCCCCCGCUCGCGCUUUUUUACUUCUCCAUUUCGCCCUCCGAUAAUAGGGUCAUUUUCGUUGCCGGAACCGUCCCAGUCCGCCGCCGGGACGGCUCGGUACGAUCGAAACCGCCUGAUUUGGGAUGGUUCCUCCGACCCUACUCAUAAUUCAAUGUCCUAACUAGCUAAUAAGCAUAUGAAAUAUAGUCUAUGAUGGAUUUAUCCUCAUAAACUUAGCAUAAUUAGGAUAAAAUAACUUAUGUAGAAUAGUCUAGAGCCUUACAGCCAAAAGCCAUUUAGAAGGUUUUGUACAUAUAAUUGUGAAAAAACAGUAGGUCUACAAUUACAAAGAUGAGAGCCUUCUUAGACUCUGGAAGCAACUUGAUUAGUGUGGUUACACUCUUUUAAGUAACUUGUCUUUUGAGAAAAAUACUUAAUUGCUGGAAACAUCCUUUUCUGAUGGCAAGGAUUAGUUUUACAAGUGUUUUGCUCUUGCAUUCUAAUAGCCUACAUGAUACCCUGGAAUCUUGAUGAUACGGAGAAAGUACAUUAUCAAACAUGUAAUUUAAGUAUUCUAUUUUUUAAAUUAUAUAAAUCUUUGGAUACUUAUUGAGUAUGCUUUUUAUAUUGCCGAAAUAUAUAUAAAAGUGAGAGUGAGGCGUUCUCUCCCCUCUUUUUUUCUAAUGUUGAUAUAUUAAUUAGUAUGAUUAAUUUUACCUUGUCAUUUUGAUAUUGUUGUGUAGUUUAUGGAUCUGAAUGAUGACCAAAUGGUGAAGUUUGUGAAUGUUGAUACUAUAUUGAGAUGAUUAGUUUUUCUUAAUGGAUGUUUUUCACUAUUAUCGCGCAUUUGCAUGUGCUUGCAAUAGAAAAAAAAUAAUGAUGUCUUUGACAUUGUAUCUGAAAAGCAAUACUAGCUAAAAACAUAACAAAAAUGCAAUAAUUAGAAACUUUAGAAAACUAAAAAUUUAAUAAUAUAUAAAAGUCAAAUUCCAUGAAAAAUGAUAAAAUUGAUAACUGACAUUAAGUCAAACUCCAGUUUUUAUAUGCUCCAAAAAUGGUAGAAGUAUAAAAUGUAAUGUUUUUGGGUAAAAGAAUCAAUAUUUACUGUAGAAAUCUAAUUUAAUACCCUUCGAAAAUAUGCUAAUGAUCCUUCUCAAAAAGAAGAAAAAACCAACGAAAUGCAGCAUUUAUACAAGUCAUAGUGGAUAGGGCUGUGGAUAAAACAUAUUUAUAUAACUACAUGGAAAAGAAAAAAUUCAGCUAGACUAUGAGCAAGUAAAUGUCUUUCUCAUUACCAUUGUGAGUUCUCAUUUAUUGGUAAGCUCAACUACUUAGCAAUAAAAAAAAUUGUUUAAAAUAAGCAGUGGUGACUAAGUAAUUUCUUAAUUUAGAUCCCCUGGUAUCUUUGACACUCUUAUGGCUAUGAAGUGCUCUUAUGGUUUAUAGCCCAACUCAACUUGCAUUGGUCGAAAUGUACCCUUUUUUGGUAUUUAAUGAACCACAGUUGCUACCUUGUUACUAAAUACUUAAAUGCAUAGAACCGAAAAAUCAAUCCAUGUUGGGAUUAAAGAAAAAUAAUGUUCAUGUAAAUUCGUGACCGUGUAACAAAAGGUGCACCCUUUGCCUUAUGACAUGCAAAAUAGGAGAAAGAUGAGCAAAGAAAGGGGAAGAAAAUAACACAGGUAAUAAAAAUCAAAGAACUAAUGAAUAGACAACGAAGUAGAAAGAUGCAUAGAAUUAGAGUUGGUGAGUCUCUAGAGGAAUUAGAAUUGGAGUGUAUCACUUAAUAUACAUAUAAUUUUCUAUAUUUUAUUAAGUAUCAAGCUUAGAAAUUCUGGAGUAAGCUUGGACUUGGCCCAGAAUAUAACUGUGCCCUAAAAUCUGGAUUUAGACUAGCUUAAGGGGCUGGAACUGCUUAUGCCUACCCAACUAUCAUAUUGGGCCGGUUGGGCAGCCCACCGAGUUCUAGUCAGUGGCUACUAAGAAUGCUGUUAGUAAUGACUUUUUUGAAUACCUGGAGCGCCUGGGUGCUGAUUUGAAGUGGUAAUGAGGGUGUUUUUUGUAGGGAGGGCAUGAACUACACAUCAUUUGAAAUUAUGUAGUUUUGAGUUCUUGUUUCAAGGUAAAUGACUCAAAAAUGCUCAAAUUUAUUUCUUAACUUAGUGAUGCCAAAUUCGACUUCAGCGUGGAGGCUUCUAAGUCAAGUUCCUUGUGGGAGAGUAUGACAUUUCAUGCUAGCUUACUUAAAAAGAGGGCUACCUGAGUAAUAUUUCAUUGAUAACUAUUGUAAACUAUAUCAUGAUGGUAUCUCUUUUGGAAAGAUAAUAACAACAAAGAAAGCUCACAUUUCAUGAAAGUGUGAAGGAAACCUUGGGUUGAAUCUUUGGUCUGUUUUGGCUCUCAAGAGUUGCUUAGGUCAGUGAACAAUCCCAGGAACAGAAAACACUUUUUAAUCCCAAUGCAAGAGUCGUGUAUUCCUAGUGCAAUGAAUGGCUCUUCGCUGUUUCCCGCUGAGAGAUCAGGAUAGAAAAAGGAAUGCUUUAAAUACGUUGAAUGGAAUUGUUCCCCUCUCUUCAUUGUUUAAAAUCAGAUAGGGUUGAGUCGGGUCAGCCAAUUAUGGGCGCCUAACCAUGACCCAAUUUCAACAUCUCCAAAUCAACAUGAUAGACGUGACAUUGCUCAAUCAAAUUAUAAGAAUCCUCAAUAUUUGUAUCUCUAGAAUACGUUCAUACCGACAAAUGGGUCGUGCUACCUGCGAGCACACCUAUAGUUGGAAGUUUAAUAUUUGGGAGCUCUAUAUAUGCACCUAUUAGGGAUGAGAUAGCAACUACCAUCCAAAAGAAAAGUAUCUUACUAUUCCCUAGAUCCAUUUUGUUACAUCCUUCUAAGUAUCUCUGAUCCCUCUAAAAAGAGCUAUAUUUUGACUUCUUUUGCCCCAUAUGUAUCCAGCAUUAUGUCCAAGCCACAACAAACGUAACAUAACUGGUUGACCAGUGAAUGCACACAAUGGAUGUAAAACAAAAUGAUGUUUUUUUGGCCCUUGUGCCACUUAGAUUUAGAUCAUCUUCUUUCCUAAACAUGUCCCAUAGAACCAAAUGACCUGCCAUUGUAGUAACAUGCUAAACUUGCGACCACUAAUCUGCCUUUUCACAAUACAUUCAAAGGUCACAUAUGGCAUAGAAUGAGGCUAGAUCUACCUCAAGGGUCUCAUAUAGUGAGGAAGCAAGGAUCCAUUCACUCACUUCCCUUUGUUGGUCACCCGAGCACAUGUGGCAUGAAUCACAUGCUCCAGUAUUAUCUCUCCUACAACAAGCGCAUUUCAUGCUAUAGUGUCCCAUAUAGAUCUUGAUUCAAUUGCUACCUAGCACCUAACCCAAGUCCUCAAUGUUUUCACCAUCUUUAAGACCAACUAAGUUCUUGCGUCCAGGUUUAUACAGGUUAUAUGGAUUGUAGGGCAUCUAUAUCGGCCUUUGUAUCAUCAUCAUCAGGGCCUCAUCUUGAUCAAACUAUCAAGGCAACUUUUUAUUUAAGAUAUGCAACCUCCCAGAAUGCAUUUGCUUAAAUUGUCUCAUCUAUGUGUGCUCCUUGGGUGCCAGAGGUGAUCGCCCAUGUGAGAGGGCCAAUCUUAACUUGUUUGACGUAGCUUCUAUUUUUUGUAUAUAUAUGUGUAUUGGUUCUCUCAUGCAUUUUUUCAUUCACAUAUAUUAUCAAUAAAUUAAUGUUGAAACAUUUUUAAAAAUAUAUAAAAUAAACAUCAUUAGUUAAUUGAUAAUGACAUGAAUACAAUGUAUAAUUAUUACAAUGGUCCAAAAUUGAAAUAGACAUACAUCAUAGUCUACAAAGCCUACUGAUCUUACAUGUGACUGGUGCACAUCUAUAGGGAUAGGUACAGUGAGGAGAUCUGCAACAAUCCAAUACAUAGAAAUAUGUUGUAGGAUCACUUCUUUCUGUGCUACAAUAUCUCUUAUGGAGCUAUACUUGGUAUUUAAUUUGUUUGGUCUUGCAAUAAUACUUUGGAUCCUUCGUGUAGGCAACAACUGCCUGACUAUCACAAUAUACUGUUACUGGUUUUGUAGCAUCAAUAACAACUCCUAAAUAUUGCAGGUAUCUUCUAAGUCAAAUAGCCUUCUGCAUUAUAGCUGAAGAUGCUACAAACUCAGCCUCCCUCAUAGAAAAUGCUGUACCUGCUUUCUUUCUGCUAAUCCAAGAGAUGGUGCCAUGAUUAAGCAAGAAAACAUACCCUAAAAUCAAUUUACACUCAUCCAGUUAUCCACCCCAAUCAGCAUUUGUGUAACCUACUAAGCACAAAUCACCUGCUUGAUAAUGUAGGGAAUAUUCUGUAGUGCCUCUGAGAUAUCUCAUUAUCCUCUUGAGCACUUUCCAAUAUGCUAGUCCUGGAUUUGAUUAAUAUUAGCUUAUCCCACAGUGAAUCAAAGAUCGUGCCUAUUACCCAUCAUAUAUAUAUAUAUAUAUACAUAUACAUAUAUUAGGCUUCCAAUAACACUAGAAUAGGGAACUCUUAUCAUUUGUCUCUCUUCUUCUAUAGUCUUACGAUGCAUUUUGAGAUUUAGACCUUUGCCUGCCACCUUUUGUUGGUGGUGGUCACCAUAAUAUGAUGGUUGAACUCCUGCUUUUAAUCCUUCCACAAUGUUGGAGUUCCAUGAUCACCAAUUGACAGUUACAGUUGUUGAGAUGCUUUCUACUUGCUUUGGAAGAUGUGAUUUGCGCGGGUCUUUCCUCCGUAGGGCAGGGAUGUACCUUGCCUAUUGCCAUUAGUAACUAUUAAAGUUAAAAGAUAACAAAGAGGAAUUAAAGUAAGAACCUAAUGUAUUAUCUAUUACUGAUACUCAUAAAAAAAUAACCAACCUGAUUGGGUUGGUGAGGAAGAAGGCAAAGGAUCCCACCCCUCCUUUCCCAAGUUAAAAUCCAUGCAGAAAGGAGAAAAUAAAGACUUUGGAAACCAAAAAUAUGAUCAAGUAAGAUGAAAUAAACUAGGGGUAGAUGCGAAAAAAGCAAAAAUAUUAUAAAAACCUAAGAAGAAAGAAAGACAAGGGAAAGGGAAAAAAGACUUCCUUGAAUUGAUAAGCUUGUAUCGUCCGGUGCUCCUCACACGAAUGUUUGUUUUUUUUUCUUUCCGCUAGAGCACACAAACCUUUGUUUUAUCACAGACAUAGAAAAAAUAUUUUAUUAUUUAGGCUUAUUUGAGAAACAUGCUAGCCUUGCUCCGGUGAGAAUCCUUAGUUUUCUUUUGAUGUUGUAAGCCAUGGGGAGUGGGGGUAUGUCUAUAGGUGCUCAAGGGCUGUUAGAUUUCAUCCCUUUCCAAUGUCGGACUAAAAGCCGGGUACAAGACAUGCUAGGUUGUUUUCCUGAGUUUGGAAAAAGGUUAGGGUUAGAAAACCUCUUGAGCCCAUCCACAUCAUCCUAAGUUAUUCCUAUUUCAAAAUAGAGACUUUUGACCAAAAUACCUUGUUUGCAUUCUGCAUGUCAUUCAUUUGAUUGACCAUAACUUUCUAUUUCAAAUUCAAUAUUGAUUUCUCCAAAAUGCUUUGGACUCUUAUUUGAUGCUUAAAACAAGAUACAAUAUUGACCAGUUUGGACAAAAAAAUUAUGAAUGAAUUUUAAAAUGUGACAAGGUGUUAUGUGAGACUGGUGUGGACCAGUCAUGUGAUUUGCACAUUGAAAAGGGAACCCACUAAAAUUCAUUAGGGCCUGUUUGGAUGAAUAGGCAAAAAUUUCUCUAGAAUUUCAAAAACUAUGGAAAUCGAGUGAUGCUGCAAGAGGAUCCCAUGUCAAAAACUAUCACGGAUUCUCUAGUAACUGCUUUUGGGCUGAUUCUAGGACAUUAUAUGGAAAAAUUCAUUGCAUCUAAAGGUCAUUAUUUGAAGUUUGUUGUUAUGGAUUAAGUCCAGGAAAACUAGGCGUUAUCAACUAGCUGUUGUAAAUUAGUUGGUUUAAAUUAUUCUGUGGAAAUAAAAUAUUCAGUAUGUAAAUUACCAUGAAACAAAAUAUUUCUUACUGACAUGGUGAUUUAUAUUUUUAAGGCUCUUAUUUGAUGAAAUGAAUAUUGACAGAGUAUAUUAAUACAAAUAUUUUCAGAGUGGAGUGAUCAUUUAAGUGGAUAAUAGAUUUUUCAAAAAAAUGUUGGAUAAAUAGUUAAAGAACAGUCAUUUAAAUGUUAAAUAUUUGUCACGUGUAUAUGUAUUACAUAAAUGUCAGAUUGACAGCCGUAGUAUGACCACUAAUGGCUGCUUUCUUAGAACUUAUUCAAAAAUACAAAUCUAUCCUUGGUUAUUUACCAAUACUUAUUUAGCUGAAGCGUUAUCAAUUACUAGAUUCUAGUUGAAAUCAUCUAUUAGGAACUAUGAGUCUUUUUGAUGAACAACACAUUCUCCACAUUCUCCAAGUGGUUUCAAUAAUUCUUGUUAUGGACCGUCUUGGAGUGGUUGCCCAUUUUAGUGCCUCCUUCCAUGGCUAUGUUGGUUGUUAACUCCAAGAUUAAGAAAGAAAUGGUUGUAUCUAAAACAAUUUAUAGAGAGGAAUGAUUCUGGGAUUCAUCUCAUGCUGCCUUCUGCCUCUAACCUUCUUUCGUCUUCAGCUCUUGCUCCAACCUGAACCUGUGUGCCUGAGAGGGAGAGAGAGGGAGCGAGAACAUGAAGGUUAUCUCCUGAAGAAGGGAAGGGUGAGGGGCAGAUUAUAGUUUUUAGAUGCUUCUAAGGUAGGGGGAUGGGGUGUGCGUUAAUGCAUGAGAAACAUAGGAAAAAAUAAAUGGCUCUGAGUAGAUUCUUUCCCUUCCAUGGAAUGCUGCUUUUACCAUGGUCUAUUUGACCUGAAAGAUGAUUCCCAAACAACAGUCAGGAAUCAUUGAUUACAUGGUCUCUAAUUCCUUGGAAUGCUGCUUUUACCAUGGUCUAUUUGACCAAGGUUUUUAGGUGGAUCCAAAAGUAGCCUUUAAUUCCAAAAGAAUUCCAAAGAAGUAUUUGAUGAUCUCAAGUGCAUCUUGAUUAUGUCGUGUGGCCAAAACUGUGCUGCCAGCUAUCUACAAAUGGUAAAUUCUAAAUUUUCAGUCAAACAAUACUAUCACAUUGUUGCUUAAUCAUCAAAAAAAUAGCUAAUCAAAUAUCUAAUUAAUAUCAAUCUAUUAAUAAAAUAAUAAAUCAAGCAAGAAACUCUACUUAGAUAAUAUUGCUAGAUAAUAGGAAUCAAACUAAAGGAAAAUUAUGUUGGCACCAAACAAUAUAUAGCAAUGCGAGCGGUCAUGCUUGUAAGCUGCGUAUAGUUUAAGGUAGUCUUGCUUAUCUAAAGAACAAACACAUGCACUUAAUAGUGAGAAUCUUUUAGACUAGAGUAAUGCAUCCAUUUUGGAAUCUUCCCAAAAUUUCAAACCUUCACUUUUCUUCCUAAGCGUUUCUUUACUACAAGUGUUUCUAAGGUAAUCUGCUUCCUUGCACUUGCACAUGCUUCCUAUUCUAGCAACAAAGGACAUGCAUUGAUAUAAUAAACUUAAUAAAGCUCCAUGCUUCCAAUAUAUAUUUAUGCUUAUGGAUGCCUAUGCCACUGUGUUAAUGGAUGCCUGUGCUGUUGUAUCUCCUCCUUGGGGUAUUAGCGUCCUUCACAGCAUUAUUUAUGUUGAUACGAUUAGUUGUUCCUGUGAUCAUAUCCUUCUUUCUUAUUUUGGAGUGACUAUGUGACUGUAGCUACUCUGUUAUCUUUUUACAGCAAACAUCAUUGUUAUGUACAUGUAAUAUCAUUUAUGGCACAUUAUUAAAUGUAGAAGCUGAAUCUGUUGGUUGAAGUUGACCAUCACUUAGUUUAACACUGCUAGAAGGCAGCAAGCCUUUCUCAUUCUCUCUCACUCUCUCUCAAAUGGCAAAUGAACUUUCAAGUACAUGACAAGUUACAAUCCUCACAACUUAGUGUACAUAGUACCCAUCCAAUCAUCCUCAAAACUAUAUUGUAUCAUAGCACCAGACUCCAAUUAGCUAUCUGUUUUCUGCGUCGAUAAGAUAGCAAGCUCCUUACAUGCCCCUUACAUUAUUUUUUUCCAGGGGAAUUCCAUAUCGACUACAAAAUACAACAUUCUGACCUUUAUACCAAAAGGGUUGUUUGAACAGGUAAUUCAGAUAUCAACCUUUUGAUAACAAUUCCUUUUAAUACUUUCUUGUGAAUAUAAAAUUUUUCCCGUCGUAUUCAAAUUGUUAAGUUUUUGUCUCUGAAAAAUACUGUAUUUGCACUGACAGUUCAGGCGGGUGGCUAACCUGUACUUCCUUAUGAUUUCAGUCUUAUCUACUACACCAAUCAGGUAUGCUUUAGUUUCAGGUUAAGGUGUGGAAAAUAUAGUUUUAUUCUAAAUCUAAAGUUUUUUGAGGUCUGAAUCAUAACUUGUUAGAAAAGAGUUAAUGACUAUAGUGUUAGUGGAUCACAAAAUUAAGUGAUGGCAACCUUUAUUUUGGAUAUUCUUGGCAUUUUACUUAAGAUACUCAUUUUCUUGCAGUCCGGUUUCUCCCAUAACAAAUGUUCUUCCACUCAGUCUAGUGCUUUUGGUCUCUCUUGUUAAGGAGGCUUUUGAGGACUGGGUUAGUAACACUAGCGGUUAUUCAAAUUUUAGCAUUCUAUUUAUCUUUUCAUCAAAAGUUUCAUAUUGCAGUUCAUUUUUCAAUUUUAAUCUGAUUUUUUUGGCAAUUGUUAAAACAGAAGCGUUUCCAGAAUGAUACAUCAAUUAAUAGUACCCCUAUUGAUGUAUUGCAAGGUCAAAGAUGGGAAAGUAUUCCCUGGAAGAAGCUGCAGGUCGGUGACUUGGUGAGGGUAAGAUUUACGGACUUCUCUUUGAUGCAUGCCAUCAAUAAUUGUGAUAUCAGGGUAGAUAACUACUGUCUGUUGGCUGCCGUUUGAAGAAUUGGAGAAUGGUUCUGCCUAAUAACAUAUAAGAUUUGGGUUGCUCUUGUGUAAGGUGCUGAGAGUCCAUCUAGUUUAUUUUAUGUGCUCCAGAACGUAAUAGCUAAACUUACUGCGUGCAAAACUUUUUCGCCAAAUCAAUGGGGGCUUGGCCGUUGAGUACAUUUUGUGACUAUUUCCUGCACAAAUUUAGAAUGCUGUAUCAUCCUGAUAAUAUUCCUAGAAUUUCUAAAAAUUCAUAGUUUUCUUGAAUCAAUCAUGUUUUUGCUUGUUUAUCAAGCAAUGCUUCCUUGUUCAGCUUUUGACUUGUAGCAGACACUGGUUAUCUAUGUUUCGUUAAGUAAAAUAUCUUAUGUCAUGUUUUCUUUUAUUUCUUUUUUUUUUUAUAUGUAAUAGAGAUAUAACAUUGGAAGUUAAUGUAACAGGAGCACAAUGGAAUAGAAAAACUGUUAUCCUUUGAUUACAUUCAUGGUUACUACCUUCUAUAUAAAGAACAAAUCUGGGAAUCUAACAAGAAAAGUUCGUUGCUUUGCUUUGCUUUUCUAUAAGUCACUAAUUCAGCAAGAUCUGCUUUUUGCUCCUUAGUUACUUCUGCUCCACUACUUUUCAAAUUUUAUGUUCGGAUUUCUUGCCGGAAUCUAUUUGCUGGUUAAAAUGAAUUUCAAUUUGCGGCACAUUAUUAGUAUAGUAGGUCAAUUACCUUAUAGUCUAUGCAAUGAGUAAAAUGCAAUGAUGUUCAUGCAUCACAUGCGUGAACCUAAACAAAAGAUAUUGCUAUAAACGUCCCUUCACAUGAAAGGCUUUCUAAAUUUACCUUCUGUUCUUUAGUUGUUCUCUGGGUGACCCCUUCAGUCACUAUUUAAUGGUGGUUCACAUGAUAUGAUAAUGAGGAACUCUUAUUAAUAAAGAAUAUAAAGCAUUAAAUAUUAUAUCUAAUACAAACUAGGAAUAAAAAUCUGGUGUUUCUUGUUCUUGCCAACUAGGGGUCAGCAUCAUAUGCAUGCUUUACCAUUCUCUGUCAAAGUCUUGGCAGCUGGCACACAUCACCAUGGAAAAGAUAGAGAAGUCUGUAUAAGUUUUCACAGCAUAUAAUUUGAAAACAACAUGCAAAUGUGUUUGUACAUUAACAACUCCAAUAAGCUUACAGUUCAUGAUAAAAAUUGCAGGGAGCUAAUAACCAUGUUUACAUGGAUGCACGUGUUGUACGCAAAAUCAAUAUAUAUCUCUUACACUGGUUGUUCCAUUAACUGUUUAUAUAUUAUGAUUAGUUGAUUUAAAAUGUGAUAUGAUGAUGAACAAAAAUAAUUUAUAUCAUGUCAAAUUCAUAAAUUAAGGCUCAAAAUACUAAAUGCAAAAAGAUAAACAAAUUAACGGGGAAAAGAUCCUAGUUGUCUUGCAUAGAACUUUAGUUGCUAGAUCUGGGAGCAGGUGUUGAUGUGGGGAAGCAGACAUUUUAGUAACAUUUUUAUUGAGUAAAUGCUUAAAAACAGGUCCACAUUCAAGUUCCAAGAAGUCUUGGAAAUGAGUGCAUUAACCUAGCUAGAAGAUUUUGAUUACUAAGCAUGGAACAAUGUUGCUUUGGGAUUGUUGGGGUUAGAUUAUAAUCAAGAAACGUGCAGAAGCUGUACUACUUGUAUUUGUGCCAUUAUGUAUCUUAUUAUGUAUUAUCUUGAUUUUUAACCUUUAAACCAUUACUGAAUGAUAAUUUAUAUUGUGCUCAACAUACAUAGUGGGAUUUGAUAUAAGAAAAGCUGAAAAGUGUGGUGAUUAGCUCCAGCCUAUCCAUAUACUUAGGAUGGUUGCUUAUAUGCUUAAAAUGGAAAAGUAAGGUAUGAUCUAGUACCAUGUUGUAUUGACUUCUAGUGGUUGCAUUGUUUUGAUUAAGAUUCACCGUCUCGGUAUCGGACUCCGUAUUGGUGCCACACUAGUAUAGUGUCGGUACGGUAUGAAAUUUUAUGGACGUACCGAUACUUGGUACGCCAUCUGUACUGGGUACCGGUACCGAAUUGGUAUGGUACUGUACGCUUUGUACUGCCCGAUUCGGGCCGGUACAGCGUACCAUGGUUUCGAUACACAUCAAUAUAGGUUGACAUUGGUGAUAUGAAUUGGCAGUGGUACACAUGAUGCAUCCUAUAUUGAUCUAUGCCUUCACAUGUAUUGCAAACAUGAAAUGAUUUAAGCUGGAAUUAUAAUUCUUGCAAACACUCAUAAGGAUUGUCGUACCGGUUGGCAUUGGUGUGUACCGACCAUACCACGCGGUACCGAACUACUACAUGGUAUGGAGGGCGCAUUGAGUCUUGGUAUGCCGAACUGGCUCCCAUACCGAGUGUACCAAUAUAGUAAUAGGAUGGUACCGGUAUGUGGGGUCCAUUACCGACAUGGCGAACGUUGACUCAGUGUGUUGAGAAAGUAAUUAACUCAUUCAAAAUCAUAUCCUAACCAAUGUCCUUAAUAUUAAUUAAGCAAAGUAUCCUUUGCAACCAACAUCACGGAAACAACCUGCAACUUUCUGACAUGCAUGAUUCAUGAACCUUUCACUUGAGUUGACAUAUUGCCACUACCUUUCACCUGAGUUUACAUGUUUCCACUUUAACUAGUGGAUUUAUUAAGCAAUUAUUUGACAGAUAUGGCCCCUUAGGUUUGUUGACCAACAAUAACUACUCUUGUGAACAUCAUCUUUUGGCUAGGAAAGGUUACUCUAGUUUGCAAUGUACACAGGUGAGUCAACACGUCGUUCUAUUAUGGAUGUGUGAAUUAUAAUUCUUCCACGUGUAAUCACAAGAUAAACGGCUGCUAAGUUGUCUUAACAUAGCUUAGUAGUGCUACUUAUAGCAACUAGGAGUGCAUUGUUGUGUUCUCUUAUACCUACCUGAAGCAUAACAUUUAAUGUUCUGCAGUUUUGCCUCUAGACGUGGCCUUAUAGAUUAUUACACAAACUGCAUAAAUAACAUAUAUUUAUUUGGGAUGAAUGUUGUUUGUAAAUUUGGCAUUCUAGUGCAUAAAUUCCAACAAAACAAUUAGAAAUGAGACUCAGGAUUUGAACAAGCUUAAAGAACAAGUAGAGAAUAGCAUAAAUAGUGCCAAAAUGUCAUUAAAAAUGGAUCACAACUUAGUAAAUGAUAAACUAGAAAGUUAUGAGGUAUUAGACAUUGUGGAAUCAUUACCUUGAGUAGGAAACACAUUUUGUUUUCUAGCCUCAAAACUGUAAUUGAAUAACUUUCUUCAAAACGGGAUUACAUGGACUAGUCUUCACCAUUGGAAACCCUUCGAAGCAUUGUUAAAACUAGGUAAAAGGAAUCAUAACCAUCUUCCUUGGCAUACAUCAUACAAAUAAGAAAACCUUAAGUUUUAUUAAAUUAUUCAUAUGGAUUUUAACAACUGGAAAUGGUGGUUUCAAUUUAGUCUCUUUUCACUUCUGUUUCUAUUGAGGAUUCCUAGAAAAUUUGAACCAUAAUUUAUGCCCUCGUAGGACCGAAAUUGAAAAACCAUGUAGCUUAUCUUAUCCUUAACACCCCUUGUCCAUUUAUGGGGUUAAAUUCAUGCUUCAUAGCAUGAUACAUCUAGGUAUGUAUUUGCAUAUUCUCAUUCCUUGACAUUAAUAGUCCUUUACAUGUCUCACAUUCCUAACUUCGGCAAUCUGGUUAGAGUGGAGCUUGUGAACCUAGAUCAAUUUGAAGAAAGGUGAAUCUGCCUUGCUGAUUAUGUUGCCUAUGCUCAUGUGCACUUGGAGAAAGCCUCCAAAAUUACUUAAUCUGAAGUAGUUUAAUUAAAUGGACAAGAGUUUGAUGAGGGAAUUGCAAUUGCUUUUGUGGUACAAAAUUAAAAGUUCAAGAGUGAACUUGGUAAAGAAUCUCCAAAAAAGAUAUCCAGUUGAAUAUGUAAUAUUGGACUUCUUUUAUUUGUAGGUAAUGAGGUCUUGCUACUAUAGUAGAGUCCUCACUUAAAGAGCUAUUUUUAUGUAUCAAUAUUGGCUGCAAGGUUUUAAGUCCCAAUUGGAUGGGGGGCAUCCCAACUGUCUUAUCCCGUUCUGUUCUUGUGGGAAAACGGGAUCUGGAUAGGUCGAGACUCCGAAACCCAUCCAUGUGGGGAGAGAAGAAGAAAGAGGAAAGAAAGAAAGGAAGAAAAGAUGAAGAAAAGGAAAAAGUGAAAGAAAAAAAGAAGAAGAAGGCAAGUAAGGAAGGGAGAAGAAAAAGAGAGGAAAGAAGGAAGAAGGGGAAGAGAAAAUACAAGAAAAAGAAAAAAAUAGAAGGGAUAAGAAAAAGAAAGAAAAAGAAAAGGAAAGAAAGGAAGGUACAAAAAAGGAAGAAAAGAAAGAAGAAAAAGAAAGAAAGAAUGAAAGAAAGGAAAGAACGGGAGGGAGACGGAGGAUAUCUAAUGGGAUGGAUGAUCAAAAUUGUUGCUGGGAUUAGGCGGGAUAGCGGGUUGUCCCGUUCCAUGGAGAAAUUGGAGCACUCCCAUCCCACGGGAUUUAAAACCUUGAUUGACAGUCUUAAGAUUCAUUUCCUAUUUUGCAUCCUCUAGCCAUUGCCAACCUAUCAUAAAAGUUCUCUUAUUUAUCUUGGUUUGAUAUCAAGAUGUUUAACAUGGAAAGUAAUAUCGCUCCAUCAAAAAUCUCUUACAAUAGCCGUCUUUUCUAUGGUGUGACCUUUAAUUUCACUUUCUCUAUUAUAUCAUCUAAACUCACAAGCAACAUCGUACGAGCUUAGAAUGCACCUAAUCAUAGUCGAUAGGAAAUACCCUUGCAAAUCCUCAAAGAAGUAGUGGGUAGCAAUUAUUGUAAUCUUUAUGUUUGUUUUUUUAUUUGGCAUAUCUAUUUGUAGCCUCAUUAUCAUGGCACACCAUAUUAUGCCAAAUCGGACGGUACAGGGCGUACCGUACCAUACUUGUUCGAAACUGGUACGUGGUACGGAGAGUGCCGAAUCGGCCUUGCACCGGGCAUUUCGAUACGGUAACAGGGUGGCACCGGUGUGGGGCUUGGUAUCGAGGCGGUGUACCUUUCUCAUUAUUAUGGAUCUUGUGUUGGUAGGAAGGAAAUGAUCCUUAGUCCUUACAAUAGUUAGGGCUGUUCGUGAUGCUUAUUUUUUGUUUAUUAACAUUUCUUGCCACCUUCUAUCUAACAUUUGCUAAACUACAUUGCUUUAGGAAAUGUUCAAAUUCUUGCAUCAUUAGAGUUCAUCACACCAAAGGAGCUUUUUAUCACAUGUUGUAACUUGCACUAGAAUGUAAAGGAAACCUAGCUCAUUUUACCAUUUUUUCUUGUGUUGUAACAAUUUUUCUUACAUUUCCUCCAACCUUUUGCAAAAUUUUAUUGCUUGAACAGGUGCUUCAUUUUGUGUUAUUUGCAACACAAGCUUCUAUCUUGUUCUUAGGUCAUUAAAUAGAAUAUCUCUUAGGGGGUGCUAGUAGGAUGGAUAGCCUCGACUUAUAUCUGAUUCAUACUUAAAGACCACCUUGUUGGGCAUGGGUCUCUCUUAAAUUAAUAUUGGACAUUGGACAUCUAAUUCGUUGGAUAUGAAUUUGAGAUAAUUGGACCUAACUUGACUGAACUUUGACACUGAAAAAUAUUAUUUGAAAAUUCUGGAUCUAGCUCAAGAAGCACGCCUUGAGCUAGACUCAACCUAGGAGAUUUGACUCAACUCAAACCCCCAAGUGAUGGGUUUGAUCUUGGUCUAAAUCUUAGACCUAAAGGUGGCCCUAGCUGGACCCAAGUCUAGAUUGCUCUACCUGGCCGACUUGUAGUCCUAUGGGGUGUUGAUUGAUGAUAAGGCCAGUAAAGGAUGAGUUUAAGGGAAGCUUGCACCACUUUAAAGUUGUUUGACUUAAGAUAAUGGUUGGACAAAAGCAAGGUACGCCAUCUCGAUAUCGGGCUCCAUACUGGUGCCACGCUGUGGCAUAUCAGAAAGCUUGGUAUAGAGGCCGGUCGGCGUACCGACACUCUGUAUGCCCUCUGUACCGUGUAUUGGUGCGGUAUGUCCCGUACCGCCCGAUUCGUACAAUAUGACAUUCCAUGGACGAGAUAAAUUUUAGAAAGUGACACUAAUGAGUACUUCUAGGUGGUAGAAAAGCAACAUCGUAUCUUUCUUUAGCAACAAUGCUUUGAUGUUCUAACUUUAUAGGAAUUCUCUCAAAACACUGAAGAAGAGAUCCUUAAAUAUUUGAAACCAAGGAUUUCUAGCAAGGUUUGCUGUAUUGGUAUUGAACCACAUAAUGAUACCAUAUUGUUAGAGUGUUGGUACUUGGUACACUCAGUACGUUGGUCAGUUUGGCGUACUAAGACUUGGUACACCUCCUAUAUCGAGUCUUGGCUCGGUAUUGGUAUCGUACGAUAUGCCUGGUGCGGGAUGGUACGCACUAGUAUGGCGAACCUGGGUUUCUAGUAAACUUUGGAGCUUUGCUCGGUAGUUUCUAAUUAUAAUCUAUUUCUAAGUAUAGGCUUGAAUUCAUAGGGAAAUGUCACAUGGACAAGAAAGUUGAGGUAGACAUAUUAAAUGGUUGAGAUUGAGAAGAAAUUGCCAAAGUUAUACACCAACUCCCAAAGCAUUUGUGAUAAGUCCGAGAAGAUGAACUUAGAGCUUUAUGAUGAAACUUGAGACGCAUGUGAUAAGUAGGUCGUGCUAAUGCACUGGAAUCCAUAUUUAAGGGAUUUGGGAGAUUAUAUGCAAUUAUAAUUUACAUCGGUCAUACGUAAGACAUGAGUGGUACAUGUAGCAGCUUCGUUUAUGUAUCUUAAAGAACCAUAUAAAUUUAAGGUAUGCGAGACUCUGGGUAUUGGUUUAUGUUCACUUGCUUUAUCUGUUGGAUCAACAUCUUACGUUAGUUUGGUAGGUUAUCCUUUUUGCCACCCUCUCAUACCUAUGUUGAAGUGCUUAUUUGUGCAAUAGUGCAAUAUAAAAUGUUUCUUAGUACCUCUAUUGCAAUAACUUUAGCUGAAGCAAUUCACAUGCUGCUAUUAUUUCAGAUAACAAUUGUAGUUGUAAGUUUUGGAUGAAUGCUUUUGCUUAAAAAAAUAAAGAUACAUGAUUAAUGAAUUAAUGAACAAUGAAGGGCUUACAAUGGUUAUUUAUAUUUGGAGCAGGUUAAGCAAGAUGGGUUUUUCCCUGCUGAUUUGCUAUUCCUUGCUAGCACAAAUCCUGAUGGUGUUUGCUACAUUGAGGUUUCUUUCAAGACCUAAAUCCUUGAAAAUUUGUUUGUUGCUUUUUAUAUAUGAUGGUAGCAAUGAAAAAAAAUCAAAUAUAGAUGUCUAUCGGAUGCCCUAACUAAUUACUACUUUGUGGGUUUUAGACUGCAAAUCUUGAUGGGGAGACUAAUUUGAAGAUUAGAAAAGCAUUGGAGAGAACAUGGGAUUAUUUGGCUCCUGAGAAAGCUGCUGAAUUUAAAGGUUCCUUCAUUCUAGUUCAGAUGUUUUCUAAAGUUAUUUUUGACUUAUACUAUGUUCUACACAAGAAUACUUUUGAACAUACGUUCCAGCUUUUGAAUUAGUAGAGAAGUGUUCAUUGGCCAAGUUGAUCAUCAAUCUUCAUUUAGUGAUAUGCAUUCAUGAAAAUAAAUAUUUUAGCAGAUGAUAAGUCUUUUCCAUUGCUUAGAGAUGUUGUUUUGAUACCUUUGAUAAUAGUCAUAGUGAUGGCGGUUAGAUUUGAUAUAGUAAAUUUUAAAACCCACUUCCUACAGUAGUACACUGGAUUCUCAAAGCCCUCCAUGUCUCUAUAUGUUUAUGUACAAUUGUUGCAUCCAGUUAGACAAAGAGCUAGUUUAGGUGCCACACCUACUCUCAAAAUUGCCUUUUUCUUUCUGCUUGCAUAUAAUUGUUUUUAUUCUUUCUAUCUCCAUAGCUACUUAUAGUUGACAUUGAUCUAUCGAAAAAUUUCACUUUUAAUCAAGUUAAUUUUGUUCUUGUAGAGGAUAGGUUUUGAGACUCUUUUGCGUAGUUUGUUGAGGUAAGCAUGUAGAGAAAUGUUUGAGGAUCUUGGGGAUGAGGUUGAUUAAGAAGGGGAAUGUGGCCAUUUUUUGGAAGUGUCUUUAGGGUCUUGCUGAAAGUUGAAACAGGAACUCAAAAAAAAGGUCACCACUCAUCACGAAUGCUAUAUGAUAUACAAAAGAGAUCUGAUUUCUAGCAUAGUUAAUUGGUUUUUACUGGUAUAGAUGGAUAAUUUGAAGUCUUGCCAAGCUUCUUUUUUUCCAAUUUUUUGUUUGCUCAUCUAUACAAAGGCAAUGGUUCAAAAUAGCGAGCAUCAAAUUGAUGUCUACCAUGGGUGGGUACAAUAUGCAUUGUAUCUUGUGCCAUAUUGAUAGAGUGUAUUAAAUAUAGUUUGAAACAAUUUUACCUGCCCUUGGUAGGGCCUAUUUUUGCCUUGAGUUUUUUUGUCAUUUUCUUUUGUUUUAUUGUCCUAAUGCUAUGCUAUUGUAGAUAUUAUGUAGGAGUAUCGCUUUAAGUUCCCUAGUCAUGGUGGUUAAUUUUAUUACAUAACAUAAGUUGCAAUUUAAGUUUACUAAAAUGAUAUAUGCGCUAAAAUUAAUAUUUGCAAUGCAAUUAGGUUACUAGAAAUCAUUGAGUUAAUGAAUCAUGCCAAUGUUUAUCAUCUGUCAGGAUGAAAUAGUAUAUUGCUCGAAAUAGUAUGAAAAUGAACAAGAAAAAGCAUAUCUUUUGUAUUAUUGAACAACAACUAUAAUUUGUUUGACAUGGAAAAUUAGAAAUAUAUUCCCUCAGUUAAUUGCUGUAUGGAUUACAUGGAGGGCAUCUAAAUGUUGUCUAUGUGGAUGGAAUCGGGCCAGGUCGGAUUUGGCCAUUCUCCUGCCUGAGCUCAGCUUGAAGCAAUUUGUUUUCUGGACUACGAUUAGGCCUAAAGAUCUUUUAAAAUCUCAGCCACAACUUGGGCUUGGCCUCGGGUUGAAACCCAAUUGGGCCACCAAAAGUAGCCCGUUUGGGCCAAAAGAUUGGUUGUCUUGGGGCCCUUGGAGUGGCAGGAGUUGUCGUUGAGGAAGGAUGCCAACAGCUUGGUGGCCUCUUGCUAGCAUUAGUAGGUGAUGAGGUAGUUGAUGAACUCCUCAGUGUAGGAGGGGUCGAAGAGAAGGUAGCGGUGGAGAAAGGUCUUAAUGGGGAUGCUAGGGAGGAUGACAAGGGUGAGGUAGGGGGCUAGAGGCGGUUGUGUUGGGUGAUAAGGAGUGCAUGGAUAGCAUGGUUGAAGGUGCGACAAGCGAUGGUGGGAGGCGUUGUUGGGUAAGGGAGGAGAGGUACAUGAGCCAGAUGUAGGGCAUCUUGUGCAUGGUGAUGAGGGCUUGCUUGAAGGUGUUGUUAAGGGAUUGGAGCUGCUUGGAUCAGUGUCCGGUAAUGAUGGGAGGGUGAUGUGAGGGGCUAUUAUGUCAUGUGGGAGUGGGUGGGGAGGUGGAAAGAGGCAAUGGAUCUAAAUCUCGAAGGGAAAUAAGGGAUAGAAAUUAGAGAUCAAGGGUUUUAGCCCUUGCCCCCCCCGGACUCACUAAACCCAAUGAAUCGAACUCAUCAAAGAGUGACAAGGGUCUAGCUUAGGGCUUGAUUGCAUAUAGGGUUCGAUCGUGCCUUGGGCCAGGUUAAGGCUUGGUUCCAAGCUGGCUUCGGGCUUGGUUCCGAGCGAACUUUGGGCCUAAUCUUGGGAUCCCAGGCUUCGACUUUGGCCCGGGUUAGGCCAAGCAUUGACCUAAGCUUGGUUCAAUCUUUGAGCUCUAUGUUUAGGCCCAAACGCAAGCCCAAUUGCCUCUAUCUAGCCCAUGCACCGACCUAAAGUUAGCUUGGCCCAAUAGGCCUCAAGCCAGCUUGGGCCCACUUCUAGCCCAAGUUGUUUGGUCUUAGGUUCACAUUGUCUUUUUGGUAGAGUUAGUCUUGAUAUUGCAUCCUAUACUUCAUGUACCAUAUAGGGCAAGAUUAUAGAUGCCAGUACCGAACCCAAUACUUUUUUUCCAGUGGCACAAUAUAGUACCUAAUGGGACUGGUAGUGAUGGUAUGUACCUGAUCUGACAAAAAAAAGGGGACAUUACCUAGUUAUGGUCCUCAUGAUCUAGGGUUCUAGGAGGGGCAAAUUAGGGAUAGUCCAAAUUUUUGGAUAGGGAAUUGGUUCAUGUUCGGGGGGAAUCGUUUGGAAUUGGAUAUGUUGUCAGGAAAGUCCAAACAGGCUUGUCAUUCGGUCGCCUUUGUGGGCUGUAUAGGAUAUAAAGUUCAAUUAGUAAUACUGCCCAUUUGGCUAGAUUCUCGGAUAGUGUUGAUCUUGUCAUGAUGUAUUUAAUGGGGUCCACCUUGGAUAUGAACAUGGUUUGAUGUGCCAAGAGAUAAUGCUUGAGCUUUUUGACUGGGAAUAUAAGCACGAGGCGCAUCUUCUCGAUAGCCAAGUAUUUGUUCUUUGCGUCCACCAUCUUCCGGCUUAAAUAGUGUAAGACCCUUUCCUGUCCUUCAUCAUUCUUUUGUGAAAGCAAAGCACCUAAGGAUUUGUCCGUAAGUGCUAUAUAAAAAAUGAAAGGUUUUCCUUUCUUUGGAGCUGCUAGGACUUGAGGAUUUUACUCAAGGUCAUUCUUCGGUUUCCCGUCUUUUUUUUCAUCAAACAUGUUCAAGCUUUCUUAGAAGAUUAGUCUUUACUUUAAUCUUUAUUAGGAGUCCAAACCAUCACAAGUGACAUUGAAAACCAAACAGAAAUAACUCUCUUUUGACUAUCUAGAUGUCUGUAUGGUUGGAUGAUAGUUCUCCAUGUCAGACCUUGUCAUCUUUGUUUUUGUUUCAUUUUUUGAAGACUAGUUGAAAAAUGAAGGAUUGCUGAUGACUAUUGAAUUUUAGAAUGCUUUCAAUCUAAGACUAAUUAGAUAUAGGGAAAAUGGUGGCUUGGGAGUUCUGAUUGAGUACAUGAUUGAUUGUAGCUUGUCAAGCUCAAAAACUGACGUGCGUGGAAUGCAACAUGCACAAGAAAGGAAGGAGCAAAUGUUAAAGACAAUCAAAACUUUAUUGAUCUUCUUCAACAUCUGGAGAUGGCAUUUCCCCUACAUCUAUAAGCUGUAAUAAUUUGAAUCCUCAGAAAUUAUGCCUACUCAGAACCAUUAAUCUGAUUAUUUAACCCUAAUCCGUAGAAUGAAUUUGUAACAAAACAAAAGAAAUUGGAAAAUAGGGAUAUCAUCUUAUGACCUACAAAAGAUAUGGCUUAAGUAGAUCCAAACUUGGGAAAAAUUAAAUAAGAUCUUAAACUGAAGACUCAUCUAAUUCAAGUCAGUUCUUUGUUGCAUGAGCUAUAACUAUGACCAAUAAGGUAUAUUGCUCACUUGAUAUGCUUAAUGACAUUUAAGGUUGCACAACUUUUCCUUCACUGCCAAAAUCUGGCUUCACCAAAAAUCUUGUGCUAAUUCUAUGUGUUUGUUGUCAAUUUGAUGGCAAUUCAUAAAAGUUUGCCUUCGUGUGGAAUCUUGUCAACUCAGGUUAUGAUCCACAAACCUUUUUAUGUUGGAAAAAGGCUUGAAUGGUGAUGAUAGUACAAGCAUGGUUCGCCGUACUGGCCCAAACUAGAUGGUACAGAACAUGGUAUGUCGUACCGGCCCGUACCGGCCAGUUCGAACCGGUUCGGGCUGGGACCGGUAUCGGAUCACUAUGGGAUCUGGUACCGGGAGCUUUUCAUUGGAAAACCGGCCGGUAUGACUGCCGUAUCGGUACGGACCGAUCUGGGCCGUCACCAAUACGCCGACCGGUACGGGUAUGGUGUAAAGACCUCAUACCAUAUCGUAUCGAUAGUGCUAGUGUGGCAUUGGUACGGGAUCCAUGCUUGUACACAAUGUACACAAUGUGUUAAAACUUUCCUGCCUGUUACAUUUUUAUUUUGUCAAUCCUUUCAUCACAUCCGAAGAUAUAGUUUUGAGUUUUUUUGAGCAAAGGAAAUCCUUCUAUCUAUGCUAACCUAUAUGUGAAUCUGCUAUCAUGAUAUACAAUCUUCUUGCAAAAUGUUUACUCAAAUUAGCGUAUAUUUCUCUUUUGCUUAUGGUGUUUUGCAUUAUUGGUUUUCAUCUAUUAUCUAUCUUAAUAUCCUUAAUACAUGUGCAGGGGAAAUGCAAUGUGAACAGCCAAACAAUUCACUGUACACCUUUACUGGAAAUCUUAUCAUUGAAAAGCAAACAUUGCCUCUUUCUCCAAAUCAACUUUUAUUAAGAGUGAGUUUCAUUACCUUCUUGUUGUUUUCAUUGUUUGUCUCAUGCUAUUCUGGGGCAAGGCAGGUUCCAUGAUAUGGUGCAAAAUGUGGGCAUGCUUGUCUUAAAGUCAAGAAUCAUUAGUUGCAUUUGUAAUAUUUGGUUAAUCUGUAUCAUACUUUCUAUUGCAAGAUACUAGGGUUUUGCGAGAUUGAACCUUGUUGAUUCCAAUCCCAUGUUUCAAAUAGAUGCUCUAGAUGGAUACUGUAAAAUUUCCUAAAUAAUAUAUAGCCUUUCUUUUGUUCUAUUAUUUUUUGUUGAUAAAGACAUUGAAGUUCUUUUAUGUGCCUAAAGGAACUGCAUAUUAGUCAGAAAGAUUGUUCCUGAAUCUUGAUUGCUACAACUUGUGUAUUCUUUUUGCAUGAUUUCUAGUUUAAUCCCACUACUUGGUCUCAUCUCAUCAGCUGAAUUUUGCCAUACUAUUGAGGAAAUUCAUUCUCCACUAUAACAAGACCAACUGAACUCUCUUACAUGGUAAAUUUAUAAGUUGUCUAUAGCAAUGGGGUAUUGACUCCACUCUUUCUUGUUAAUUAAAUGCAUUGGCGCCUUUUUGGUUGUAAAAAAAUUCAUGGAAGCUAAAAAAAGAAAAGUAGGAUUCAUGAUUUGCCGUUCCGGCCUGAACCUGGCAUUACGGCGCACAUCAUACUAUAUCGGUUUGUUACUGGCAUGCGGUACGGGUGGCGUAUUGAUAUUCGGUCGCCGAAAAAAUUUUGCACCAUACCGUACUAAUACUAUACUAGUGUGGCACCGAUACGAGGUCCGGUUUAGAGACGGCAAACCUUGGUAGAUUUUUUUCAUGAAAGGAAAAUGUUUUUGAGAGAUUUAAAAAUAAGUUUUCCAAAGUCGCCUAAUUUCUGUUGGAACAAACAAAAAGGAAACUAGAUUUUUCGAGGAACAUAAGUUCUCCAUGCAAUUUCUGAAACCAAAUUAUAUAUAUUGUAGCUAGGGAAAUCCAAGACGAAGAAAUCACCAGAAUUCAUGAAGAAUUGAAGAAAAUCAAUUGUGAAGCCACCUCAGACUUUAGCGUAUGUGACUUAAUAAUUCUUUGUUUAGUCCCAUAUGUUGGACCUAAUUAAAAAAAUAAUCCAUUACCAAAAUCUCUAAACUAGUCUCAGUAGCUCAUGGAAUUUGAUCUCUAUCUAUAUUAAUCCAUGCCCCUUAGUAUCUUCAUCACUUGUGAUGUGAAAGUUGCUGAACGCAAAUUGACUCCUCUUGGCUCUAGAACUCUCCCAUGUCAGCCUAUUCCUUGCAUUUUUGCUGAGUAAUGAGUAAACGAUGUGAAAUAAGAGAGAUUGGAGAAUCUUUGUGCACGAUCAAUUGAACAUGAUUGUUGGAAAGAGUAAGCACAAAUGAUGGCAUGAAGCACAAAUGAUGGCAUGAAGGAUUCUCUUUCCAUCUUCCAUUCAUAUCAGGUUUCCUCAUCAGUUCUGUUUAGAUUGAGGGUAUUAUUAGGCUGCUUUGAUACCGUUUAAAAUAAUAAAAAUAGAACUAGAUUAUAUCAAAUAUUACUUUUGUAAGAAGAUAUUAAAAAAUCUAAGAUUGUUUUUUUAUUUAAUACGAAUAAUUCAGACUGGGGCCAAAAUUUAACUUCUUCCCACAUUGAGUUUUGAUACCAUGGUUCAGAGAUGUCUAUAAUUCUACUACAUUUAAUGUCAUUUGGUGGAUUUCUUUUUCUAAAGUAAUUUAAAUUUCACCCUUCAUAUUUGUGUAACAUUUAUUGGGUGACCUUUAUAUAGUCCCUUUCUUAUUCUUUUUAGUUGUUUUUUAUUGAAUAUUUUGUUUAUCUAAUUGUCAGACUCUAGCUUGACUUCAUACCUUAAUUAUAAGUUUAUAACACUUUUCAUGGUAAUUUAUUUUUCAUAGAUUUGGCUUAUCUUUGUCAUGAAUAUGCGAAGCAGAUGGAAUCAAUAUAGUUGGGGUCAAUCAGAGGUGUUGAAAAGUCUGAAAUUCAGAUAGACCAAGUUGUCUUGUUGCAAUUAAUGAAACUCAGGGGCUGGGAAUUUUGUGGAUUGAAAAAAAAAUUCCACUACUUAACCUACAUAUUUUGAUCAUUACAAUUAUCUCCUAUAUUAUGAGAUAAACUUGAUUGAUAUUAUUUCUAAUUUUUGGGAGUAGCAUAUCAUUGUAUUACCAUCUCGUGACCUGCGCACCACACAGCUUAUUUGCUUGUAGACCCUUAAACUGAGACUCUGACUAAACUGAUAUGGUUGAAGUUUAUUAUAAUAUUGUGUUUACCUCAUUUUCUGAAUCUAUUCUUGAGCAUAUUAACAUGCCAUCUAUGAGAAUGCUAACCUCUAAUGUAGCUCAGAAAAAAGAAAAUUGAGACAAUUUGACCAUGCAAGAAACAAUAUCUCUUCAAGAUAAAUUUCAGAGUCCAUGAUCGAGAUGGUACAUGCAUCAGAUGCUGUAAUGGCACAAGUAGUUAAUGGCACAAGUAAUUGCCUCUUAAUGAAUUGGAUCUAAUCCAAUCUAAUUACCUAGAGCUGUCAAGAGUUUCUGAUCUGGUGUCCAGAUGAAGAUCCAAAUUUGGUUACCUGGUUAAAGAAAAUAGAUUUUGAUGAGGGUUGCUUUGAUCUGAUGGUGACGUGACCCUAACCCAACUUAUGUACGAUAUUAACAUGAAUAUUUGCUUAGAAACUUUACAAGAAUAUUCAUUUUGAGUUACAUCUAAUGCAUUUGUAAGGAAUAUUCUCUUGAAACUCUAGGUUAAAUUUUUUUGUGUAAGACAUACUCUGUGUAAGACAUACUUCUUGACCUCUUGAGACAAGGAUGGUCCAAAUAAUCUAAAUCAUAUGCACAAAAACACAUACACAUACAUGAAUAGUUACGUUUUACAGAUAGAUUGACAACAAGACUAAAUACUUGAUGGUGAAGUUAACAACUAUAAUGUGCAUCAGAUGAUGCCUAUGAGAUGGUAAACUUGUAGCAUAAUGUGGUCUGGGUCAUUAAAUUAUUGGCAUCAAACUAGAAUAGUGAUGUUGGUCACCAAGCUUGAUGCACUAUAAGUGGUGAUACCGUGAUACUAACACAAAACUAACUUCAAUGGUGGAUCAAGUGCAGGAACUAUAAAAAGAUUUGUGAAAAGCAUGCAGGACAACUUAUGUAUAUGUAUGGUAAAAUUAUAUGGUGUUCCAGGUUUUGGUUACAAUAUAGCAAAUAUCUAAACUUAUUUUCUUCCUCAAUCAUCCCUUUGGCUUUUGAUAGAAAAAGAUCCUCCUUUGUACUUUUAAUCAUUGCUCACUUUCAUAUUAGUAUCUCCAUCUUCCAUUCAUGCAUGUGUUUCAUUUACCUCAAAUUGAUAUAAUGAUGUAGGGAUGCAGCUUGAGGAACACAGAAUAUAUUGUUGGGGCUGUUAUAUUUACAGGGCAUGAGACAAAAGUGCGUUUUCUUACAAGCCCUAUAUUAAUUGACGGAUUCCAUUUAACUUCAUGGGCAUCCAUUUUUCUCUUCCUUGAUGCAUAUUCUUGUGUUUUCAUCUUUUCAUUAAUGGCUCUUUUCUUCAUUAUACUGCAGGUUAUGAUGAAUUCUAUGAAUGUUCCUUCUAAAAGAAGUACAUUGGAGAGGAAACUCGAUAAACUCAUACUUGCUCUUUUUGGUUGUCUCUUCAACAUGUGUCUCAUUGGAGCCAUUGGAAGGUCAAGUUAGUUUUACAUUUAAGCUGCUAUGUCAUUAUUUGCUCUUGAAUAAUAUACAUGAUAAAUAUCUUUUGUGCAAUGCUAAAAACCUCCUUGUUGGUUAUGGUCAUGCUCGUGGUAUAGUCAAAGUUUACUUGUAGGUCUACAAUCUUGGUAUCGGGUAUCUUACUAGUACUGUACUAGUUCGGUAUGAUAUGGUAAAUACCUCAUAGCGAAAUAGUUUUUUAGCCAUUUUUCUCACUUUUUAUCUCAGUAUACCUCGUUAUGGAUCGGUACAUUUCGGUAUGGAUUGGUACAUACCUCGGUACGCUAUGGUACACCGUGAUAUGGGGUAGCACACUUCAGCAUAGGAUGGUACAGGGGCUGUACCGACCUGAAUUUAAGUUUUGUACUAGUUCCCAUCCGUUACAGUAUGGUAUGGUACGCUUUGUACUGGGUGGUAUGGCAGAUCAUAAUUUGAACAGCUCAAAUAUCUAGAAUUUCGAUAUUUGUUUGUCAGUGUGGUCCUAAAUCACUAAUAACAAUUAGCACACUGUUGAGGAAGCUUGUAGUAACAAUUACUUUGUCCUAAUAUUCUUGUGAAUGAGUGCAGCUAACCCCACCCACCCCCACCCCCACCCCCACCCCCAACCCAGAAAAAAGAAAAACUUAUACUAUGCAUGCCAAUGUAUCAUAUGCUUCUAGAACCAAUGUGCGCACACACAAUAGCAAUGUAUCCAUCUUAUUUGACUAUUAUGAUUAUUAUCACUCAUUUUGUUUUCUUGAUUUUCUUUAGUGGGGUGUUCAUCAAUCGCAAGUACUAUUACCUAGGUUUUUUUGGAGAUGUGGAGCCUCAGUUCAACCCUGACAACAGAUUUGUGGUACUUUUUUGCUGAAAGAAUUGUGAUGUAAAAUUUAGUUGUAUACCAUCACUUACAUGCCUACUAUGCUUUUUUUUUUUCUGCUGAGAUGCCUAAUGUGCUUUUCAGGUCACUAUUUUGACAAUGUUUACCCUAAUAACAUUGUAUUCAACUAUCAUCCCCAUUUCUUUAUAUGUAUCCAUUGAGGUAAAGCCCAGAAAUUUUCUAGCCUAGAUGCUGCUAUGAAAUAUUUCACAUAUAAGCGAAGUUUCUUAUAUUAUCACCUUGUAUUCAGAUGAUCAAAUUUAUUCAGUCGACUCAAUUUAUCAACAAGGAUUUGAAUAUGUACCAUGCUGAAAGCAAUACCCCUGCAUUGGCACGGACGUCGAAUUUGAACGAGGAGCUUGGACAGGUACUUUAUUGUGUUAUCUUCCAUGUUGCAUAGGAUGAUUUUCAUAUUGUUCAUUACUGCAGUUUCUGCAAGGUUUUACGAUUUAGGUGAACCUGGACAAUGCUUAAAGAUUGGUGCUUAACAAUGGUUAAAGUGAUUGAUGGCUGCUGUCAUUCUUUUACAUUCCCUGUAACAUAUUAGGAUAGAAUAUGAUCAUAUAUACAGAUUUAUAUGGACUUUCCAUUUUGGGAUUGAAGCUUUGACAUUAUACUUAGAUUGAGAUGAAAUCUUUUGGCAUAUAUCAAGCACAUAUAUCAAGCACAUGUAUCAAGCACUUAUCAAGCAUUGAUUCUUCAAGAAAUACUUGCAUUCUAAUUACCUUGGAUGUGAAUUAUCUCUCUACCAAGGUUUGUCGUACCGGUUGGUACUAGUGCUUAUCGACCAUAACGUACUGUAUUGACCAUAACGUACCGUACCAGUAUGCGGUUCAGGGUUGUAUUGACACUCGGUACAUUAAAUCGGCCGCUGUUUCAUGCAUACCAAUACUGUAAUAGGAUGGUACCGAUAUUUGGAUUUGGUAUUGAGACGGCGAACCUUGAUCUCUACUAUUAUGAUUGAAACUCGUGGGUGUAGGACUCCGAAUCCAUUUGACUCCACUUUUGAUAUAUUUACAAAUUACCCAUGUAAAAGGUACUCCAGCCAAGAAUUAUUCUCCUCUCUCUCUCUCUCUCUCUCUCUCUCUCUCUNNNNNNNNNNNNNNNNNNNNUCCUCUCUCUCUCUCUCUCUCUCUCUCUCUCUGUGUAUAUACCUGUUUCAAUAAACAAGUUUGUCAGUUUUUUUCAUUCCUUUAUUGAAGGAACUUUUCCCUUUUUUCCCUAUCUUUAUCCCUUAGUUGUAAAAGUUCUUGCUCUGUUUUUUCCCACAUUUCCUUGUUCAUCCACAAACAAGGGACAUACAUGGGAUAUUCUAAAUACUAGCCUUGUUAAUUUCACUUUUCACUUAGUUUGUCUCAUAUGUCAAAUUAUUGAAUGAAAGAAUCAAAUUGGUACGCUAUGCAAUUUGCUAUGUAUCUACAUAUAUUGCAGAAUCUACUCUAUAUAGCAAUUAGCAUUUCAUAUUCUUUUAUUUGAGGCAGACAAAGGGAGGGAGACCCACCUGCACUUUAAUUACUUGGGCCUGAAUAGUUGGGGAUGCAUUAACCAAUAUUUGAACCCAGAACCUUUGGUUGCUAAGUAGAGGAGUGUGACUAUUGGGACAAGUCCAAAUUCAUCAUUUCAUGCCAUUUUCACCUGAGCUUAUAUUAUUAUACAGUCUCACUAUAGGGUCUCUGCCUCAGCCACAAAAUUCAUUUGAAUUCUUAAAAGGGAAAAGCAUUAUUCUUGAACAAGUUAUUUUUUGGUUCAGAGACUGACAUAAGGAUGAAAAACCAUGAUAUGGCUAAAGCUUAUCGAAAUAUUUAUAGAAUUCCAAAUAAAAAAUAUAAUAAUUAUCUGUGGCAUUCGUCAACAGUUGCCACAUCAUCUGACUUGCUUUACUUUUUGUCAUUAUUAAAGUUGGCUUUUACCAUGCAAAACAUUGAAGUUGGAAAUUUUUCUUUCUGCAGGUAGAGUAUAUAUUUUCUGAUAAAACAGGAACAUUGACAAGAAACUUGAUGGAGUUUUUUAAAUGUUCAAUUGGUGGAGAGAUAUAUGGCACUGGUAUUACUGAAAUAGAAAGAGGAAGAGCAGAACGGAGUGGACUAAAAAUUGAUGAGGUAUACUUGAUACAAUGUCCAUGAGAAGUGCUGGUAGAAUUAACUUAGAAAACCAAUAUGUUUGCAUCUAUAAUUUUAGCUUAAGUUAAAACUAUUAUUUCUUUGAACUUAUUUCUUGUAGGUUAGAAGUCCAACCACAGCAGUGCAUGAAAAAGGUUUCAACUUUGAUGAUCCUAGGAUUAUGCAUGGUGCUUGGAAAAAUGAGCAUGAUCCGGAGAUUUGCAAGGUAGACUAACUUAAUGUAUCUUAAUCUAAAAAGUGUUCUUUUAAAGCUUUCUGUUUGUUAUAUUUUAAAUCAUGUACCUUUAGGUAUUAUAUUUGCUUUCCCUCUAAGAUAUUUUUGUGACAUACCAUUUGUGGCAAGAAUCUUCUACUUAGGGUGCCAACACCUGUUUUGGAGUCUCCAUGGAAACUUGUUUCCACAACUAUUUAUUAAAAAUAUUUAAGAGAUCUGUUUCCCUGCGUCAAAACCUGAAUUUGCUCCUACACCUGGAUCCACUUUUGGUAACGACAUACCUAAAAUUCAGAAUAUUCAAACUUCAACAUAGUUGGAUGUUAAGGGCUUUAUUUACUGUUGAAUUUUUUAUUUUUUUUACUUUAUGAUAAGCAACAUUUUUUUCAAUUAUACAUUCAUGAGACACACACAGUUAUUAAUCAUAAGGGAAAGUAUCUUUUUAAUAUAUAUAUAACAACCAUUUUCUUGGGAUCAUGCUUCAUUUAAAAUGCGAAGAAGGUAUUCAGUUGGGGCAUGAGCAGGAAAAGGGCCUCUAUUUAGUGCUAUUUGCUCUCUUCUUCUUCUCCUUCUUCUUUUCCUUGUGAGGCAGUCUUAUUAAUAUAUAUUGAUUUAAGGGUUAAUAUAUAAAUAUCUUUAGCAUAUGAUACAAAUUAUUAAUCAUGUUUUCUCUUCAGUGAUUUUGUUCCAUGUUUUGUGUGGUCACAACUUAAUCCACAUGAGUGUAGUGGUAGCCAACUGAUUAGUAGGCUUUGCUUGUUCGUUUUUGCUUAUGGGAUAAACCAUGGUCUGCCGAGCCAGUCCGUACCGGCAAGUUCAGGCCGUAUCGGACCGGUCCGGCCUGGAACCGGUACCCGGACAGUGUGGAAACCGGUUCCAGCUAUUCUUGGGCCGGUACCGACCGGUAUGCAUGCGUAUUGGUCGUGUACUGGCUGGUACUAGUGCGAACUGGCCGGUUCACAUCGGUACGUAAAUAUUAUUUUCGUGCGUUGUGGUGGGAAAGCGCAUGGCCCUUUCAGCCAUGUGCUUCUCGGGCAGAGCGCCCCAUGCAUGGGGCUAUGCGCGGGCGCGCGAUUCCCCGCUUCAUGCAAUUCCGUGCGCUGGGGAACUGCGCCCGCGUGUGGUUCCCCGUGUUGCAAACUGCCAUGCGGGCGAUUCCCCUGCCCACGCGGGGCAACGCGCCCCCGUGGUCUCAUUAAUGCCACAGAGCGGCAUUUAAUGCCACUAAAUGCCACCGCGUGGGCUCAUUAAUGCCACAGUGGCAUUUAAUGCCACUAAAUGCCACUCUGUGGCAUUUAUCUCGCCCCAAAAAAAAGCUUUCUACGCGCAUCCGUGCACGGACAUGAACCAAAAAAAACAUAAAAACAGUAGUUCGGUUCGUAUCGGACCGGUUUUGGUUCCGGUACGAACCGAACCAUACUGGUCCGGUAGGCGGCCUGUACGCCUACCGGUACCGGUACGGCGGACCUGAUAAACUAUGUAGUAGUUAUUUAGCUUGUAUUUGUGCCCGCUGGAGGAGGCAUGAGGAAUAGCUGGAUAUCUCAUUCUAGGGCAUUAUAUUGGAAUGCUUAAUGCAAAGCGGACUUUUUUUAUUUCUUAUAAUGAACUCUUAUUUAUAUCUAAGAUCAGGUUCAAAAUAGGAGCGAUUCCUUCGCUUGUCUUGAUAGAGAUGUAAGGCUAAUAAGUUCCAUAUUAGUUUGGUUCACAUAUUAUGCAGCGGGAGGACUGAGUUGUGGAAAAUUUUCUGAUAAAGUGAUGUUUUUCUAGGCAACAAACUACUCUUAAAUCCAUGUGAUAUAGAUUUUGGACAAUAGUUAAGGAUUUUUGUGGAGGCAAAAGGAGUAUUAUAGGGCAGUUUCCUUGCUCCUCUCAAUGCUUUUCUAAAUAAGGAACUGGGGUGUCUUGAGGUUUAAAUUAGGGUGCUAGAGUUAAGUUUUGUGCUGCUAGGUAAGUAUCUUGUUUGAGUCACAGGAUGGACGAUUAAGGAAGUUUUUGUGACUGAGCUUAGGUUGGAAUAAGAACUUGAAAAGCUGUUUAAAAUUUUGCUUGUCUGGUAUAAGGUGCACUAGUAAUUAAGAAUAAGAGGAGAUAAAGAUGAGAAGAAAAAUAUUUUCAAAGUAACUAUUUUGUUCUCAUUUUAAAUUGUGCUAGCUACCCCAGUCAAACACUCCCUUGAAAUAUGCCUCUCAGUUUGCCAAUCUGAGUUCAUGACAUUUCUUAUGAUAUUAAACAAAGUGAUGAAAAUGAAGGCUUGGGACAUGCUAUAUAUCUCUCUCAUUCUGCAAAACUGUCAUGAGGUAUAGCAUAAUGCAGAAAACUAAAAAAUAGGGUCUGGUUGGUUUCUUAAAUUUUCCCCAAUACAGCUGAUCAAGUCAACUUCGCUUCCCUUGUGUACGCUAGAUUGUGCUUAGGAUUGUCAUCGUAGUCACCAUAUUUGAACUCCAAUAUUUUAUAAUAGAGACCAUUGUGGAUUCUUCACAUGAUAAGUCCUUUAGAUCUUGGUUCUUAUCAGCCUCGUUCUGUAGCUUCCAUUUUACUCCAUCAUAUGCGACAAGUAUAUUGAUGAUUCCAUCACAUAGAAGAUGAAUCAAUUGUGGAAUGCUGGCACAUCGUCAUGAGUCAUUAUUCCACAUUUGGUUCAAAAAUCUCUUCAUCCUUCUCACAAAAUCCUUGGAUUUGCCAGUUGAUCUGCUCAAAUAUUGCAAGUAGAUAGCGAAAUCUCUGUAAUAGAAGUAGUAGAAAUGUUAUGCUCUACCUAAUGUUUGUAGUGGAAUAAAUAUCUUUAAGGGGUGUUAUCUUGUCAAGUUUCUUGUGUCAUGUCACAAGUGUAUUUCACUUGGAUAGCCUGGAACCAUUUUGAAUUUGAUUCUGUAGACCAUUUAGGACCACAUAUGAAAUUCAAAUUAGUAAUACAUGCCUUUGCUACCCUUUGCUAAUGUUUAUGAUACACUUACUAUGAACUAACGUAACACUAGUAGUUGGAAUAUGAAAUUUGAUGAAGAAUUCUGGAUUCUAUUUUUGCGUAAUUCAUGUGUUAAUAUAGCUGCAUCAUUAGAAUUUGAUUUAUCAUCAAGUACUUCGGAGCAAUUUUUCUAGAAAUCUGUGUUUGGGAUUUAUCUUUAGAUAUUUGAACCUUUUUUUCAACAAAAUUAGUAGAUAGACACGUGACAUGCAUGUCAAAAACAAACUUGAUCAGUUAUCAUAGAUUACUAGUUAUGUAUAAAUGCUAUAACAGUUAAAUCAAUUAUUCUUUAAAUUUUGAAGAAUUUUUGCUGGCAUAUCCCAAAGAGAGUUGUGCCUUUUUUGGUAGUAUGGUAAUAUUCAUUUUUAUCUAAUAUUGUAUUAAAAAGGAGAGUAUUGGAUUUUUGAAUCUUCCUUCUAGAUUCCAUCUAUCAUUUUUUGCCGAAUAUCCUUGACCUUACCUGUAUCGCCAUUUUUCUUUAUUUGCGAUUAGAGUGUCUAAUGGCAAAAAAGAAAAAAACUAGUUGAUCAUUGAUUCUAUUUCAUUUUCUGAAGUUAUAUUUAGCUAACUUCUAAAGUGACUUUGAAGUCCUAUUUUGAGAAGAUUGGUGGGAAAAAUGCCCUUUACAUAUAUUUGUUAGGUUAAGUAAGAACAUUGUAAUUUGAUAUCUUGUUGUUUUAGGUGUCUGUCUAGCGGAUGCAAGAUUCAGAAUUUUGCAUUUUUAGGAAAGAUUUUUAGAUGCCAGCAUAGAGAUUGGCAGUUUUUGAGGACGAAGGAGGUCUUGAGCCCAAGAUUUGAUACCUAGUAGUUAAGGCCCUAGCUUGCUUGUAGAGAAGUCAUGAAGAAAAAGGGCCUACUUAUGGCUGCAUGAAUUCAUUGUAUGUGGUUUGUUUUGAAAGAAAAAGAAGGAUUUCCUUCAUUCCUAUUCAGUCCUUAUCUUCCCCUCCCUCUCCCUCUUUCCUCCCUCUUUAUCUUUCCCUUUGCCUUCCUGUUCUCUUUUCUCUUAUCUUUGAUAUGUAGUAAUGUUGUCUCUGUUUCUGCUCUUCUAAGCUUACUUUGCUCAUGCUUCUUACAUAAAUAUAAAAUCUGUAGUAUAAAAUUCUGUAAUAGGACUACGAGUGCCUAUCUUAAAUUUUCAUUAAUACCAUUUUAUAUUUUAAUACAAUUCAAUAGACAAAUGCAUACUAAAUAUAAUCCAUAGUUGUCUAAAAUAAUAUUUUACUUUCUACAACAAUCAUUUGGACUAACUGUUUUUUACUUACUCUUUUGAUUUUAUCAAGCUCCCAUCUACAUAAAUUUCAUAUGCAAGGAUAAAAAAUAACUAUUACCAUUAAUUUUAAUUGUGUAGUGUUAACUGAGGGCCCACUUGCUUUUGCUCUUGUUUUCUGUUUUUAUUUAUAAAAACUCCAGAAGAAAAAUGAACUAGACUGACCAAAUGUAUGUUGAAAUCCAAGGUUUCGGAUCUCAUGGUACAGGAGCUUACUAUACACCCCAUGUAUUGUCUUGUCCUGGCACUUGGAUGAUUAAAGCCCCAAAUACGCCACCUGAUCCACACUGUUUAGUGUUGGAUCAGUGUGUGCUCGAGUUCUCAAUAUGAGGAAGGGGGGGGGGGGGCCAAGGAACCCUAUCUUGGUGGCGCCCCAUCUUACAUGUGCAAGUGAAGGGCUACCGCUUGUAACCCUCUCUCUCUUCCUAUGUGUGCGCGCAUGCGUCUGUGCACACCUGCACCCCGCUGGGUUGUUGCUUUCCCUUGCUCAGUCCUGAUUCAGGGAGCUACCGCCAAGGCUGCUGCCCCUCCUUUGCCCCAAUCAAGAUCUCAUGCUAUGAAAAUCACUCCAGAAAGGGGGAUUAAUUUUAAGAGAUAAUUUCAGUGGCAAUCAAACAAUAAAGUAAAUAAUUGGGCUUACUGUAUUUGGAAGACUGGCAAACUACUUUGUGGAUCUCUGUUCUCUAAUAUUUUGUGUGCUCUCCAUAAUUGCAAAAUCAUCUAAUGUUUCCAGUCCAGUUUUCUCUCAUGUUUUGUUACUUUUCUUAUUAUAAUUCUGGUCAUUUGGUAUUCAAUUCAUACAAUCAUGCUGUUCUCAGUUCAAAUACAAUUUUCUGUGUAGGAAUUCUUCAGAUGUCUUGCACUAUGUCAUACUGUUCUUCCAGAAGGUGACGAAUCUCCAGAAAAGAUUACAUAUCAAGCUGCAUCACCGGAUGAGGCUGCUCUAGUAACUGCAGCAAAAAAAUUUGGGUUCUUUUUUUAUAGGUAUGCUAAUAGAGUAUUAUUCUUUAGGUUUUUGUUGUAUGACAUCUUAUUUCAGAACUUCGCACGAAAGGAUUUUAUAUCUUAAGUUAAUAUUUUGAAUGACAUCUCCUCUUUAUUUUGAUCAAUGGUGUUAUCUUGACCCAAAUUUAUUUAAGUUGGCCAUCUAGAUGGUUCUAAUGAAAAUAUUAAUGUCUUAUUCCAAAAUGUAUUUCCAAGUGAUAUUUAUCAUUCAUUCAGUCUUCAUGCUGAUACAAGUCACAAAAAAAUAUAUCAGGGUCGGCGGAACUGUCCUGAACUGGGCGGUUCCAGUUGUACCGAGUCGUUAGGGUGGCCGAUCGGGACGGUGCCGGCAUCGGAAAUGAAACCCGUUGCCGUAGGGGAGAAGGAGAAGGAAAGAGAGGAAAAGAGAGCGAGCGGCGGAGGGAGGAAGAGGGAGGGAGGCCGGCGGAGGGCCGUCGGAGGCCAGUGCCUGGGCAGGAGGCUUAUUUCGAACGAAAUAGGGGACUCAGCCGUGGCCUCCGCCUCUUGCCCUCUGCUGGCCUUCGCUGGCCUCCCUCCCUCUCUCCCGCUUCUCUCUCUCUUUUUCCCUCUCUCCCAUUUGCCCUCUCCCCUGCCUCCUCUAUUGUGUUGGUACAAGCCCGGCCGACCCGUGCUUUCGGGCAACUGGUCAGGUGCUUGGUACGGUCAUAGCAGACCAUGAAAUGUAUACUUUUUGCUUCAAUUGGUACAUAUGGAAAUUGCUAUUCUUCUAGUCAACUUUUUGUCCUGUAUAGUAUCCACUUCGCAAUCAUAGGGAACUGAUGUAUGAUAACUUCAAAAGUAAUACAUAUUGACUAACAUGGAAGGUAAAGAUGAUAGCACGACACAUGUGAGAAGAAUAAUAACCCAAAACUGUGCCAUAUGCAGGAAACUGCAGUAUGUGGGAGGAAUCAAUACCAAGAUUAUUUACAUUUGAAAUUUUCUUGUCAUAUGAAUAACCCAAAUCUGAUAUAUGAUUGAGUUUCGCUUAUAUUUGUGCCGUACAAUUGAUCCUGGUCUUUUUACAUUUUUUCCUUCCUGAUGCAAUCAGGUAUAUUUGGUUCAAUUCUGAUUUUACUAAAUCCUUUUAUUGUUUUCUUUUUUCAUUUUUGAAAUACAAUGGGAACACAACCACCCAAGACCUUUCCCUAGAGGAGAGGGUGUCAACCAGCUGGACCAAGUCCUGUUGGCAAGUCCAUUUGCUAUUUGAUUUGAGUUUCGCUGUCAUUCAAAAUCCAUGGUCACUUUAUGAGUUUGGAUUUUGGACAUGAUAUGGGUACAAGUAGGCAAUGAUGCUGAUUUUCUGUUUUACUUUUUUUUGCUUUUAACCCAAUUGCACCCUUAAUCUAUGUUUUCUGGAAUAGAGCAAAGUUUUAAUGUAAAAAUAUUUGUUUCAAAUUUUAACAUAUAGGAGUGUGCUCUAUGUUAUAGCAGCUAUAGUGAUUCAAUGAUAAUAUUUUUGAAGCCAUGGUUCAUAUGCUUUUCCUAAUAAAUUGUAAGUCAAUUAAGUUUGAACUGCUAUAACAUCUCUUUAUUAUUGAUUGAGAAAUAUAUUAGCUCAAUCUAAAUUAUCUUGAAAAGUUCAUUAGCAUAGUCAUUAGAGUGACAUUAGUUUAAUCUAAUUAGAAAGUUCCAUGUGCAUGUGUAUGUGUAGUUUUGCUAGUAAGGGUAGAAGCACCAUUACAACUUGAAGCUUUGUCUCUCACCAGAUUUAUAGCAGAUGCAAUGAUUUCUUUCAAGGUGAAGAUAACCCAGAGAUGGUUAUUAUUACAACUUGUUGCCUAGCUGUCCUCGAAAAGACAACUUGUUUCCUUUAAGGCUUAGUUCACCAUGAUGAUGGUGACAUCUCAGGUUUUCUGUUAUGCAGCUAGGUAGGUGGGCAAUGCCUAGAUUUUUUUUUAUAUGAAAAAAGGAACUGAUAAUUGCUAACUGUUUUAGAUAUAUUUAUAAAUUAUAAAGUAACAUUUUGUUUACUUUUGAUUAAUAAAACUUGCGCUGCUGAUGGCUAGUGAGACCCAUGAAGUUGGAGAAAGGAAAAGCCAGAUUGCAAGAAGAAAGUGCAAAAAAUUACGUAAUUGAAAUGCUAAGAAAGUGAGCUAAGACCCUAGUUCCGUUCUCCAGUGAGUUGGAUAACCAAGAAAGCCAAAUGAUCUCUACUAGUCGAGAAAGUUCAAACCAUAGCAUCACUACCAGUAGGAAAUCCUACAAUCAUGAUAUAUGACAGAUUUAUUUUUAGUACUGGGGCCCUCAUCGAAUAAGGAGAGGCUGGUUGGUUUUAGACGGGAAAAGAAUCUGGCCCAGAAUUUUUUUGACCUAUCAAGAUCCUCCAUGUAACCAAGCUGUAGAAAAUUCACACAACUUGGGUUCUGGAAGAUCCACUGACUCAUUUAAUUAAAAAAACAUUAAUAUAUUUUAUCACUUAAUUUUUUUUCUUUUAAGGGUAUAGUCUAGUUUUACAAAUUUCAGUAUAUUUGAAAGUGCUAUUAAGUGUUGAUGAUUUCUCAUGGAAAUAUUUAGUUUAUCAUAUGUAUGAGAUUUUCUGAAAAUAUUUAGUUUAUUGAAAGUAGUAGAAAAUCUUUCUUAGAAAUUAGUAAUAGAAAAUUCUCGUUCUUAAACUAUAUAGAAGCAGCUUGAUUUCCCAUUUUUCAAUUCCAAAAAUAACCCUGAGCUAUCUUUUCUAAACAAGAAUUCUAAUAUAAUUGGACUUUGAAACUUUUUAAUUUAUGCAUAAUAGAGUCCCACGUCCUCAAUAGUCCAAACUCAAGAUAGUUGGUUAGUUGCAGCAAUAAUUUAAAUUCUAAUAUACAAAUAAUUUCAUGAAAUGAUAUUAGUGCAAAUAAAAUUUAUUUAGAUUAAAAUAUAAUAAAGCAAAUAACUGUUAAACAAUUUCAUAAAUAAAUCUUAAAUCUUAAGUUCUUCAUUAAUGGCCACGUGCAUCUACAUGUGUACUGUAAUUAGUCUUAUAAAUAAAUGAAGUGGAUGGAUCAAAAGAUGAUUGAAUUACUUUUGUACUAAAGUAACUGCUUUGACAAUUGCUUAGAUGCAUGGGUGGUUUACCGACUCAAUUACCUUACUCAACAUAGCCUAUCUAGUAUUGACCCAAUCUAGUGUCAUAGCUAAGGCAACCUUGCCUUGUUAGAACUCAAGCAAAGUGUGAAAAGGAAUUCUCUAGAUGUUUUACUUGGUGAACUUUCCCAUUUAACAUAUAUGAGCCCAAUCCCAUAAACCAAAAUAUUGAGGUUGACUGAUAGUCCUUUGCAUGGUCAACAUUACCUUUUUGUUCCAAACUAAGCUUUGUAAUUUGGAAAUCACAUGAGGUGCAAUACCAACAGACAGUACCUAACUAGUAUGGUACCUUGCCAUACCAACAAAAGUUAUGUCUCUAGGCGCCGGUAUAGCAAAAUAAGGUAAUGUACCAUUGAGGAUGGUAUGGUAUGAUAUUAAGGGGUGUACAGGUGGUACCUUAGUGAUAUAGUAUGGUACAAUGAGUAUAGACUGAGGAAUGCAUCAGUACCAAAAUCCUUAAUGUGGACAUAGCCAUCCAUGAUCAUGUGUUUCUCAAUGGCUCCUCUCUUCGAGUUGUCAAGCAUGUUAGGCUACAAAACGUAGUUGGUAUGAAGAAGCAAUUUGACGCCACAUUUCAUUACCAGCCUCCAGAACAAACAUUUGUAGUAUGCCAAAUAACAUACAGAACUUCUGCCGAAUGUUCUAACAAACAAGUGAAAGAAAAGCUUGAAGCAUUGUAUUGUAGGAAAGAUUAAAAGCAGUUUUACCUAGACACUCCAAAUUUUGGGUUUCGGUGUUUCAGACACUUGGACACUCUAGAUACUUGGGUCAAUUCAUGACACUCCUUUUGCCAUUAUCGAUGUAUCAUUAUGUGCCUACUUCGGCACUUCUCUAUGAAAGUUUUAUGUACCAUUAUCGAGUUGAACAUGACACUGAGCAACCAUUUUAUCAAGUUUUAUGAACUUAAGAAGCAAUGGUCUAGCUCAUAAUUCAUUAUGUGCAUACAUCAAUCCAUAUUUAUAGACAUGUAGAUAAUAUAGAUGUGUUCCCAUCUUCAAGUGUUUGAAGAACGCUGUGAUGGAUUCUUCUGGACACUUGGACGGUGGACACCUAUAUCAUGUGUCCAAGAACAUUAAUUAAAAGAGAGGCAAUUUUUCCCAAGACAUUGUUGUGCAUCUAACUAGAGAACUAACAGGCUGAAGAUUCUUGUUAAUCUAGAAAGGUUUUAUCUGUUUUAAAUUAACUGACAAAGAAUUUACGUAGAUCAUAUUGUCCCUAAGGUCUGCUUCUUGGAGAAUUUCAACAAAGUAUCACAACUUAGUAUUGUUAAAUGGUUACGGAGAUCUGAUUUUGAUCCAUUUCAAUUGUCUAUUUUCUGUCAGGCGGACACCAACUACGGUUGUGAUUCGUGAAUCACAUGUCGAGAAGAUGGGCAAAAUUCAAGAGGUUGCAUAUGAGAUUUUAAAUGUUCUAGAAUUUAAUAGGUGGGUGCUUUUAGUUAUAAUUUUCAUUCCAUAUGAAUUUUGGCUUCAUGGCCACUAUCAUUUACGUUCCCUUUAUGUGCUAAUAGCACAAGGAAGCGCCAAUCUGUGGUGUGUCGAUACCCAAAUGGAAGACUUGUUCUUUAUUGUAAGGUACAUUUCAAACUUGAAAAUUUGUUGUUUAUAUCUUAUUAAGUUGAAUUUAACUCAAAAGAAAAAAAAAUCCCAGGGUGCUGAUACCGUGAUAUAUGAAAGAUUGGGGGGUGGAAAUCAUGAUAUCAAAAGAUUAACCAGGGAGCAUUUAGAAGAGUUUGGAUCUGCUGGCUUGCGUACACUCUGUCUGGCCUACCGCGAACUAAGCACUGAUUCAUAUGAAAAAUGGAAUGAGAAAUUUAUUCAAGCCAAAUCUUCUUUACGAGAUCGUGAAAAAAAACUUGACGAGGUAAUGUCGGGUAACUAUUUUUUGUACAGUAUAUAUCUUUCUGCCUAUUAUUUGGAGUUAAAUUAUAUGCGUAAUAAGCUACCAGUUUAAGUUAUAUGCUUAAUAACUGAUUAGUUUAAAUACAGCAUACAGGUGCAUGCUUGACAUCUUAUUUUUUUAUUUGCAUUGAUGAUGCUAGGCAAAAAAAUUUCAAAAUGAUAUAGUAAAUAACAUGGUAGGUUGGGGGGUACCUUUUUAAGAAUCUUUCUCCAUGUUCUAUUCUCCUAGCAUUUCCCAUGAUCUUAAUGUUGUUUAUGUUUAUGAUAUUGUAGUGGAAGAAGCCUUCAUUUGUAUCAUCUUCUUUCUGAAGUUCAGAAGAGUUUAAAGAAACAGUUCUAUGUUAACGUUUAGUACUACUUGUGUGCAUUUUCUUUCUACAUACUUCUGAUACAUACUUUAAUACAUCUAAUAGAGUAUUUGAUAGUUUGCUUAAUUACUUCCAUUUGUUUACCAGAACAGACAGUAAGUACUAAUGCAUAUCUAGGAAUUCACUGUCUUAUUCCAGUUGAUGUCAUGACUUCUUUCUUAUGGUAAGGCGACGAAAGGAGUACACCUUCCUUGUAAUUUAAAACUUAUGUAUAUAUUGCUCCCAUGAGAGAAAUAACCAUGAGAUUUCAGUAAUUCAACUCAUAAUUAGAAUAUAAAUCAUCGGGUCCUUAUUUAUAACUUAAAUGCCUACCUAAAUAUCUAUCUUUUAUUUGAGACAAAUUUUUAAGUCUUCCUCAACAAAAGAUAACCAAAGAUUUUCUGAAAUAGUGAAAACCUUGAUUAGCAUGGAAGCCUAUACUGAAAGUCAGCAAAAUUAUUUUAUGCACUUCUAAUGACCAUGAAACUUCUGUAAGCCAUCCUAUACUAGUCAGUAAAUCUACUAAAAAUAAAACAUAAAAAAGCCAAAAAAUAUGCUUUCAUGAAAACUACAAGGUAAAAAUAAAACCUUGUAUUAAAAUACUUAAAUUUAUAGAUGACUUAGACUCGAUAAUCAGCUCCCUACAGCUAAAAGCUAUUAGAAGUAGAAGAUAAUUACCCAUAACGAUGAUCCGGGGUCUUUGGAGGAGCAAACUGGUGAUAAUCUUAACCUUUGGCCUUUUUUUUCUUCGCACAGUGGCUGCCCCAGGUCUCAAACAUGCACCAUUGCGCAUGUCAGCCCAAGCCUAAGAUAAUUAAUUUUCUAAAAUAAAUUAUAUCAACCUAAUCAAAAGUCAGUCUAGAAUAUGUUCAAGUGUGUACUUCUUUGAUCCUUCAGUGACCCUGCAAUUCCUGUCAUCAUAGAUAUCUGGCACAUAAACUUAAGAUGGGAAAUUAGUACCAGAAUUCCUCUAAUAUUGGCUUACGUCCUCAAUCUCCUUAUCAUGGAACUCUCUUAUUCCUGUAAAAGAAAAAAAAAUGUUCCAACCUGGUCGCAUAUUGGUAUUGGGGACCAAAUUAAUGGGAAUUUUUUCCAGGGUUUGAAAUGACUUCAGUUCUUGACAUUCUUCUCCUAGACAAGUUGCCAUGCUGAUUUGCCUCAAAACUGUGCAAAGUUUUGAAGAUAUCUAGCAUCAAUGCAUCAUACAUCUACAUUAGAUAGAAUUUGGGUGGCAUCAAUUCUUGUUUUCCACUUGGACAUUUUAACUGUUUGGUGAGAACCACCCAACCAUAUCUCAGUAAUAUCAUCAAAAGCCAAAGUUAAUAUGAAGGAAACAUACCACUCAUGUACCGGCCCGUACCGGCCGGUAUGUACCGGUCCGGCCUGGGACCGGUACCGGAUCAGCGUGAAAUCCGGUAUCGGUAAUUUAUUGUUGAAGAACCGGUACGGGACCGGUAUGGAACCGGUUCGGACCGGUACGGGACCGGUUCGCCACGGGUACGGACCGGUACGCCACCGGUAUGGGAUCAGUUUCAUACCAGUCCGGGAUGCUACCAGUACGCCGACCGGUACCGGUACGGCGGACCUUGAUACCACUAAUAUCUCUCUCAAAUACACUUCUUUGCUUCUUUAGUUGUAUGCUUAAAUUUUGUAGAGAAUCUCUACAUACAAGCGACACUGUGGUUGCAGUUGGCUAAUAAAUCUUUUACUAAGAAUAGGAACCUAGCAUCCGAAAUACUCAAUUAUUUUCUCUAAUAUCAGUUUCCCUUCUAAUUUUAGAAUGGGCAGUAGUGUGUGAUUCUAUGAGCCAUUUUUCCCCCCCUCAUUCUUUGGUUAUUUUACAGCUUCCUGUCUAGCAUUAGCUGCGGGAAGCUAGGAAGUCGUGCCUAGGUUUCCCAUCCCCACUUCCCACACCAUGGUGACGGGCAUAUUCAGUUUCUAGUUGAUUUUUUUUCAUUUUCAUGUAUAGUCCUCGUACAGUGAUCCAAUUCCCUUCUGCCUCUCUCUGCCUUUUUCCUUGCACCUAGCUGGUGCCCUUCCGACUUCCUGCCUCUCUCUCUCUCUCUCUCUCUCUCUCUUCNNNNNNNNNNNNNNNNNNNNNNNNNNNNNNNNNNNNNNNNNNNNNNNNNNNNNNNNNNNNNNNNNNNNNNNNNNNNNNNNNNNNNNNNNNNNNNNNNNNNNNNNNNNNNNNNNNNNNNNNNNNNNNNNNNNNNNNNNNNNNNNNNNNNNNNNNNNNNNNNNNNNNNNNNNNNNNNNNNNNNNNNNNNNNNNNNNNNNNNNNNNNNNNNNNNNNNNNNNNNNNNNNNNNNNNNNNNNNNNNNNNNNNNNNNNNNNNNNNNNNNNNNNNNNNNNNNNNNNNNNNNNNNNNNNNNNNNNNNNNNNNNNNNNNNNNNNNNNNNNNNNNNNNNNNNNNNNNNNNNNNNNNNNNNNNNNNNNNNNNNNNNNNNNNNNNNNNNNNNNNNNNNNNNNNNNNNNNNNNNNNNNNNNNNNNNNNNNNNNNNNNNNNNNNNNNNNNNNNNNNNNNNNNNNNNNNNNNNNNNNNNNNNNNNNNNNNNNNNNNNNNNNNNNNNNNNNNNNNNNNNNNNNNNNNNNNNNNNNNNNNNNNNNNNNNNNNNNNNNNNNNNNNNNNNNNNNNNNNNNNNNNNNNNNNNNNNNNNNNNNNNNNNNNNNNNNNNNNNNNNNNNNNNNNNNNNNNNNNNNNNNNNNNNNNNNNNNNNNNNNNNNNNNNNNNNNNNNNNNNNNNNNNNNNNNNNNNNNNNNNNNNNNNNNNNNNNNNNNNNNNNNNNNNNNNNNNNNNNNNNNNNNNNNNNNNNNNNNNNNNNNNNNNNNNNNNNNNNNNNNNNNNNNNNNNNNNNNNNNNNNNNNNNNNNNNNNNNNNNNNNNNNNNNNNNNNNNNNNNNNNNNNNNNNNNNNNNNNNNNNNNNNNNNNNNNNNNNNNNNNNNNNNNNNNNNNNNNNNNNNNNNNNNNNNNNNNNNNNNNNNNNNNNNNNNNNNNNNNNNNNNNNNNNNNNNNNNNNNNNNNNNNNNNNNNNNNNNNNNNNNNNNNNNNNNNNNNNNNNNNNNNNNNNNNNNNNNNNNNNNNNNNNNNNNNNNNNNNNNNNNNNNNNNNNNNNNNNNNNNNNNNNNNNNNNNNNNNNNNNNNNNNNNNNNNNNNNNNNNNNNNNNNNNNNNNNNNNNNNNNNNNNNNNNNNNNNNNNNNNNNNNNNNNNNNNNNNNNNNNNNNNNNNNNNNNNNNNNNNNNNNNNNNNNNNNNNNNNNNNNNNNNNNNNNNNNNNNNNNNNNNNNNNNNNNNNNNNNNNNNNNNNNNNNNNNNNNNNNNNNNNNNNNNNNNNNNNNNNNNNNNNNNNNNNNNNNNNNNNNNNNNNNNNNNNNNNNNNNNNNNNNNNNNNNNNNNNNNNNNNNNNNNNNNNNNNNNNNNNNNNNNNNNNNNNNNNNNNNNNNNNNNNNNNNNNNNNNNNNNNNNNNNNNNNNNNNNNNNNNNNNNNNNNNNNNNNNNNNNNNNNNNNNNNNNNNNNNNNNNNNNNNNNNNNNNNNNNNNNNNNNNNNNNNNNNNNNNNNNNNNNNNNNNNNNNNNNNNNNNNNNNNNNNNNNNNNNNNNNNNNNNNNNNNNNNNNNNNNNNNNNNNNNNNNNNNNNNNNNNNNNNNNNNNNNNNNNNNNNNNNNNNNNCCUUCUCAUGGCCCGAUGCUCUGGUUGGCAUGACUACUUUGGCCUUCGGUUGGCACAUGGUUGUUGCUCUUGCGGCAUGGCUUGCGGGGGUCCUCAAUACCAAGACGCGCCUAUGCACGUCAACAAAACCAGCCGCAGCGCGCAGGACCAACCCGCGCGUCAGAAUUCGCCCCAUCAACACAACAGGUGCCAACCGAGCAAGACAGAGGCCGAGCGCGCUAUACACAAGUGUUUACGCGCCCGUCUAGCUGCGCGCACCAGCCAAACAAGGCAAUGACCGAGCGCACAAUUUACAAGCUUCUGCACAUCUGUCCAGCCGUGCGCUCUUGUCUGAGCGCGUAACCCACAAGCUUCUGCGCGCCCGCCCAGCUGCAUGCGCCAGUCAAACAAGGCAAUGGCCGAGCAUGCAACCCACAAAGCUUCUACGCGCUCAACCAGCCGCUCUUGUCCGACCCCAAUAGGGCAUUCCUUUCUUACUCCCCCAGCGGGGCAUCCGACCAAAGUUCACCACAAGGGUUCUAAAGUACUGAGGAGCAUUGCAAAUAGAUCUGGCCCGAGCCAGAUUGCUUUGUGGCCUUGGCCAUGCGCGGGCGCCUGUGGCCGUACAUGGGCGCGCCGCAGCAGCGGCUUCCUACUAACCCAGCAGGGCAUCCACCCAAAGCCCACUCCGGGGGUUCCAAAGUCUGAGGAGUAUUGCAAAUGGAUCUGGCCGAGCCGUAGCCUUGGCCGUGCGUGCGUGCGCUGGCACGGAAGAUGCGCCGCAGCAGCGGCCCCCUACUAUACCAACAGGGCAUCCACCCAAAUCCCACCUCGGGGAUUCCAAAAGAUCGAGAAGCAUUGCAAGAACCUCGCCUGGGUGCGCUCCCAGUUUUCCAGGAUGCGCGGCCCGGUCAGCCGGAUCCUGCGAGCCAACUGCAGCUAACCUCACCAACUGCAGCCAACCACAGCCAAGGAAAACUGCAUCCCAGCAACCGUAUCCAACAUUGCAAUCUAUAAAUAAUUUUGAAAGGCAGAAGUGUGGGGCAUCCAGAUUGUGAAGAAAUCUCUGGAGAGUCUACUUGUAAGAUUCGGCCUUAGGGCUUUUGGGUUAGGGAGAACCACAAGUUCGUCUACCUUUGCUAGAUUGGGCUAUUAGGGAUUCCUUCUGAAUUCUUGAUAGAUUGGGCUAGUGCGGAACCUUGUAAUGCCCCACUAGAUUUAUUCGUCUGCACUUGUACUUUGUAUUCCUCGUUUUAGUUCAAAUGAAUAGCUUCUGUGCAAUCAAUUUCCACCCAUCCAAGUGUGUGUUCUAACCAAUUUAGGCGUAAAAAUUUGCUGCCACUUCCAAUUUCUACGGGCAAAACCUUGGAGCUUACUUUCCUAUCAGUCCACGGCAGCAUUGCCACCCGGCAAGAAGCCAAGAGGCAACGGAAGGCAAUGGUGUGGGGCUUGGGGACCGAGUGCCCUCAUCAGUCUCCUCAAUAAUGUGCCUUCUAUCUGGACCUCUUACUGGAGAGGUUCAUUCAUCUGCGGUGUUACGUUCACACGACUUGAGUUUGUUCAGAAGUUAAAAAUGUCCAACACUUCACCGAAAGUGCCUCUUAUGCCUUUGAUAUCCUGUAGAAAUGUCUUUUUUCCUACAAAUCAUGGUCAGUUGUGAGUCGUGACAUCGAGAUUGAAAAUGAAUAUGUAGCCUGAGGUGGUUUUUGGAGGAGCAGAUCAUUUUCAAUACCAAAUGAAAAUAUGAGAUCUAGUAGCAAAUUAUAUCGCUGAUGUUGAGAAUUCCUUAGGACCCUUUGCUGUCAUUUGUUUUGGGUUCUUCAACUUCUGUUAGAUGGGUAGGAAUUUUUUGUUUCUUUGUCUUUUGGAUUUGAUUAUUGGAGUGUUUGAAUUUCUGUUUUACUAGGUUUCUUUUGGCUGCUUUGAAAAUUUGCUUUUUUCUGUUUCCGGUCUUGUUUUUCUUUAAUGGGUGAUAUGAAUUUGCAUGUUUAGCUGUUACCUGCGGGUCUGAAAUAGAGGCAAAGACAAGGGCUAAGGGGAUAAGGAGGGGAAAGAAGAGGAGGAAGAUCAGAAAUACAGGUAGGAUGUAGAGAGGAGGGAGAAGGGAGCAGUUUGAGAAACAUAAGAUAGAAUAUGGUAAAGCUAUAGAAGUGGUAUAGUUUUGAAGAGCAAAUUUGGAACCUAAAACUUUUUUUUUUUAAACUGACCUGAGAGUCCCAUUCAGUGCUAGUUCCCUGUUCCAUAUGACUGCACUGGCUUAUGUAGUGGCAUCAGAAGACUAUAGACUUGGUUCCUAUCAACGAAUGCUAUCUCGGUAUCGGGCUCCAUAUCAGUGCCACUCUAUUAUUGUGUUGGUACGCUCGAUACGGGAGCCAGUUCGGUGUUCCGAGUAUUGGCACGCCCCCUAUACUACACACCAGUAUUGGACCGGUACGGUACGUUUCGUACUGUCCUGAUACAGUACAGUAUGGCAUAUCUUGGUGCUUACCUUCCUCAACAAUACAAUAGCUAAUCCUGUAGGUUUUUCAAACCAUAAAGAAUGAAUAAAAUUGUUUGCUUGCAUGAAUUUGACCUCGAAAUAGAAAUUGUGGAAUGAAUGGAGACCCAAAAAUGAAAAUUUGUCUCCAUAGGUUUAGAUCUUCCAGCUUCGUUAAGGAAAUCAAUCAUUCAAUGGUUGGUUCUAGAAAAAAUCCAGUACUGGUGUUUACUGGGACAUGAUUUUGGAGAUAAGAGGAACCUAAGGGGCUUUUAGUUGUCUAUAAGUUUUCUAAAGCAGAUAAUCAUAGAAUAUGGUCCUCUAUAAACAUGUUUAAUAAAAAUAGGGCGAACCGGUUUUUCAUGAAACUUAUUUUUUCAGGUUUUGUAAAACUCAUUCAUUUUGAAUUUUUUAUUAAAAGAAAAAACUUCGACCAAACAGCUCUUAGAUGUUUUAAGGGAUCGAACCAGUUGGGAUGCUAGUUUGUAUAUUUUAAGAUUGGCAUUUCCUUAUGCAAUGAUAAAUCUGUUCAUGCUAAUAUACAGACUAAGUUGUUUCGGAGCUGUCAAAAAAUAAGCUCACUUCUCAAAUAAUCAUGAGAUCGCUCUUUCCAGAAAUUAUUAUAGACAAGACAACUAUAUAUUUCCUUUCUUCUUGAGAUGGAAAAUUUUCACUGGAGGAAACCCUUUCUAUCAUGGAAUGCCGUACNNNNNNNNNNNNNNNNNNNNNNNNNNNNNNNNNNNNNNNNNNNNNNNNNNNNNNNNNNNNNNNNNNNNNNNNNNNNNNNNNNNNNNNNNNNNNNNNNNNNNNNNNNNNNNNNNNNNNNNNNNNNNNNNNNNNNNNNNNNNNNNNNNNNNNNNNNNNNNNNNNNNNNNNNNNNNNNNNNNNNNNNNNNNNNNNNNNNNNNNNNNNNNNNNNNNNNNNNNNNNNNNNNNNNNNAGAACCACAGCGCCGCGCGCUGUGGUUUUUGAAACCACCGAGUACCGGCCGGUACGGGACCGGUACCGGCCGGUACGGACCGGACCGGACCGGUACCGUACCGGUCCGGCCGGCCACCGGUACGCCGACCGGUACCGGUACGGCGGACCUUGCUUUCUAUUAAGUAGGAAAAAGUUAAAUUUGAAGGAUCUGAUGGAUGAUCUUUUCAACAAGAUAUGAAAGGUAUUCUAGUGCAAAGGAUUUGGAUCAAACCAUGCCUUUUGUGUCUAGAUUACUGUCACAAAUAUCAUUUGGCAGCUUACAGGAAGCAGUUGUGAUUCAUGUGUGCAAGUACUUGUCGUUUGGGACAAGUAUUUUGGAUGUUUUACCAUGUUUUUGGAUCUAGUUACCAGCACUAAUGUCUGCACAUGAAUGUUCUUAUGAGGCUAGUUUGUAGGUCAUAAGACUAAUUAGAUGAUCUCUUGACAUUAUUUCUUGCAGGUGGCAGAGCUAAUUGAAAAGGAUCUGGUGCUAAUAGGUUGCACUGCUAUUGAAGAUAAACUUCAAGAAGGGGUGCCAUCUUGUAUAGAAACUCUAUCUAGAGCUGGGAUAAAGAUUUGGGUGCUAACAGGGGAUAAAAUUGAAACUGCAAUAAAUAUAGCUUAUGGUAAGAUAAACGUUUUAGAUCUUACAGGUUGUGAUCUUUGCAUUAUGAUCUUCUGUAGAAAAAGUAUUUGGAAAGUGCCAACAAUAUGGUAUGGUUUGUAAUUGUUAGUAGAGGAAUGAAAUUCUGUCCCAUCACUUGGUCUUUUUUUUUCUAAAGAAACUUUGAGUUUACUAGAUCUUUCCUUCUUUGCAGCAUGCAACUUGAUCAAUAAUGACAUGAAGCAAUUCACCAUCAGUUCAGAAACUGAUGCAAUUAGAGAGGCUGAAGAUAGGGUAAGAUUAACCCAUACUGCUAUAUUAUGCGUAAAGUUCGCAUCCAUGCUAUUUUGAAGUUUGUGCAUUAUUUUUAUGAAAAACAUUUACGAGACAGUUCUAAACCUAUGGUCAGACUAUUCCUGAACCAGCUAGUAUGAAUCUGUUAUUCUUAAUUUGUUGGAGUUCAUCAUUACUUUCAUCCCUCUUGCAUAUCCUCUUCUCUCUCUCACUCUCUCUUCUGCUAACCAUUUGCUUUCAUUUCCAUUCUGUUCAUUUUUCUUUUUCCUUGGACCAUAUGUAGCACAACUUUAUGUAUGCUUAAUUAAGUUCAAUGUAAUAACAUUUAAAAAUUUUCAGUUGUUGAAUUCUGUAUAACAUACUUUCAGGGGGACCCUGUAGAAAUUGCACGUGUUAUUAGAGACUCAGUAAAACAGGCUCUGAAACGAUGCCUCGAGGAAGCUCAGGAAUACUUGCAUGCUAUAUCAGGAACAAAGUUGGCCCUUAUAAUUGAUGGCAAAUGUUUGAUGUAUGCACUGGACCCAAAUUUACGUGUGAAUCUGCUCAACUUGAGCUUGAAUUGUAGUUCUGUAGUUUGUUGUCGUGUUUCUCCGCUACAAAAGGCACAGGUAAAGUUUGUCCUUGCUAUGCUUGAGUGACUGUAAUUAAUUUCACAGAUUAUGGUCCUUGUAUACAUGCACUUAUGCAUGCACAAAUGGUUUACAAAAUUGAGGUUUUCUUUUUGGUAGUUUUGUGUUGAUAGUUGAGAACUUGAGAUUUUUGAGGAAUGAUACAUAUUUUACAUAAUCAGCAUGAUAACAUGCAUAAUAUUGAGCCAUGUUUGAAAGAACUUGCAUGUGCUUUGAAGAUGACUUAUUUCUUAAGAUAGUUGGUAUGAUUUAUCUCAUACGCAAACAAGGAAUGUCAUCGUCUAGCAAAUACUAAGAUUUCCAGGAUGCUAAUAUCUAUUUCAUAGACAUAACAUGUAAUCCACUACUAUGAAACAGAGUUGGUGGUCACUUUUUGGAUAUUUCAUAUGGUUAAUUUUUGAACAUCAGUUUGUCUCUCUCCUUUUUUGUUUUCCAAUUUUACAUUUUUAGGUUUGAAGCUACAUGAAUCUGAAAAAAGAUCAUAUAUUUCAAUACUCUACUUUCGUUGCAGACUUUUUUUCAAUCUUUUAAAUGAUUUAUUGGAUUUGCCUUCUCUUUUCUACUUGUUUGAUGUUUUCCUGUGUAUGACUUUGCCACCAGUUCCAAUGGCUCUUGUAGCUCUUUUUAUAUGCGCUUCUCUUUCGUCUAGUUAAACCAAUAUUGAUCAUUGUCAUGGUGUUUUAUUUUCUGGGCAUGUAUAAUUUUGUAGUCAUGAUUAAUAUAUUAUUUUCUUAAUUAAUGUAUACAUUUCUUUGAAGGUCACUAGUCUGGUUAAAAAAGGUGCUCGGAAGAUCACUCUGAGUAUAGGUGAUGGUGCAAAUGAUGUGAGUAUGAUUCAAGCUGCUCAUGUUGGUGUGGGCAUAAGUGGACUUGAAGGAAUGCAAGCUGUAAUGGCCAGUGAUUUUGCAAUUGCUCAGUUUCGCUUCCUUACUGAUCUUCUCCUUGUGCAUGGUCGAUGGUCAUACCUCAGAUUGUGCAAGGUGGGAAUUUUUUGCGAAUUUCUUGUCCCCGAAAGUCUUUUGUUGUUGUCAAGAAAGUAACCUUCAGUUUCUCCAUUGCAGGUUAUCACCUAUUUUUUCUACAAAAAUCUUACCUUUACAUUGACUCAGUUUUGGUUUACUUUCCAAACUGGUUUUUCUGGUCAGAGAUUCUACGAUGAUUGGUUCCAGUCAUUGUAUAAUGUCAUUUUUACAGCACUACCAGUUAUCAUUGUUGGAUUGUUUGACAAGGUAUUCUUUGAGAUAGCAAUAAGUUCUGUUACCUUUUCUUUAAAUUAAUGCCAUGCAAGAUCUCGACAUCAAUUUGUGGAAUGCUAUUGGAAUGUUGUUGCUUUACUGGUAAUGUCUGGUUGUUUUUCCAGGAUGUCAGUGCUUCUUUGUCGAAAAAGUAUCCGGAGCUUUACAGAGAAGGAAUUAGAAAUAUGUUUUUCAAAUGGAGAGUCGUGGCAGUAUGGGCUUUCUUUGCUGUCUAUCAGUCAUUGAUUUUGUAUUACUUUACGACUGCUGCAAGUCAGGCUGGUCACAAUUCAUCCGGGAAGGUAUUUGGUCUUUGGGAUGUCAGCACAAUGGCCUUUACUUGUGUUGUGGUGACUGUCAACUUGCGCCUUCUUAUGGCAUGUAAUUCAGUUACACGGUGGCACCAUCUAAGUAUUUGGGGGAGCAUAUUAGCGUGGUUUGUGUUUAUAUUCAUAUACUCAGGAAUAAUGACCCCAUAUGACAGACAAGUAAGUUCCUUGAAUUUGUUCUGUUUGUUUACUCAGAUAUAUGUGCAUCUAAUUUUUGUGUUGUUCUUUCAGGAAAAUGUAUUCUUUGUUAUCUAUGUGUUGAUGAGCACUUUUUAUUUCUACUUCACACUUCUGCUCGUUCCUGUUGCUGCACUUCUUGGCGACUUCUUAUAUCAAGGGUAAGACUUCAAAUUACUGGCUAAUUCUUGAUAUAUUUGCUCAGGUAAUAUACUUCUGUAAGUCUCAAACUGAGAGAUCUGUUUGAGAUAGUGCAAUGAUGUCUAAAAUGAUAAACUUAAGAUCUAGACCUUGAAGAAAAACUGGAAUUCGUAGUUGCAAUUGACCUCAAAUCCUCCUGGUUGAACACUGCAUCCAAUGAAACCUGAAUAUAGUGCUUUGCUAAGUGCUUGUUAUGAUUUUCCACUUGGGCCUUCUCUUAUCUUAUGAUGGCGCUCAUAAGCACAUUACUACAUAAGAUUUAUGACUAUUCUUUUAGAAUCUUCUAAUUUUUCUCCUUGAAUGUGUUUUUCUAACUGUUUCCUCCUUUACUGUGCUCACUGUUUCCUCAUUUAUUGUGCUUUAACUGUUCAUGACUUGGUGCUCUGGCUGGGCUUUUCCCAACACAAUUUACAUAGGCUUAGGCCUGGCUUGGCCUGGCCUUCGGGCCUACUUUCCAAGCCCAAGUCUGAUCCUUGGGUUUUAGGUUGGGCCUUGAGCUUCCUAACCAAUUUUUUUUAUUUUUUAAAAAAAUGCUAAAAAAUAUUUAAAAAUAUUUAAAAAAUGAUGAAUAUGAAUAUAUUAAAUAUCACCAACAAUAUACAACAUGUCUAUUGUCACAUUAAGUUCAUAUAUCAACACUAGUUGUCAAUUAAGUAUACAAAGACAUUAACAUAAACAAACAAUCAAGAAAAACAAAGUUUGGGCUAGGCCAGGAUUGGGCUAGGCUUUUGUCCCCAAGCCCAAGCCCAGCCCAUUUAUUAAAUGGGCCCAUUUUCUAGGCCCAUCUUGGCCUUUCUGCCCUAAAAUCUUUGCUUGAGCCCACCAAAAAGGUUUCGAGCUUGGGCAAACUGGGCAGGCCAUCCGGCCCCUGAACAAGUCUACUUGUGUACUGUACAUUCUUAAUGCUUUUUUUGCUAGAUUGUGUGUUAAUCCUCUUUUCCAACUAGUAUUUUUCACAUUGUUAGGUGUAAACUUUUUCUAUAAUUAUCUCUUAUUGGGUAUACUGAACUCCUUAACUUGGUUAGCUGGAUGUUUUUGCCUUGGAUACAUAUAGAGAUUUUAACAUUAUAAUCCCUUCUAUUGCCAUUUUUGUGUGCCUCUUAAGCUCCCUGCUACUAGGGGUGUAAAUGAGCCUAAACCGAGUGAGCUAAGCUCCAUUUUAGCUUGUCUCGAAAUUAAAAAAAAAAUGUUCAGCUCAAGCAAGAGACGAGCUGAGAAACUAGAGCUUAAGCUCAGCUCAUUGAAGAUCAAAAAUUGGUUCAAGCCAAGAUCGAGCUCAAUUAACUCAUGUCAGACUCCCGUGGGAACCAGCAGUCCUGGUGUUCUUGGGAACGGGGUGGAGAGAGGAAAAGAGGGAGGGAAGAAGGGACAGGAAGCGGUUCAUGGUGGUGUCCAACAGUGGUGGGCUGGUGGUGUUGCAAGGGAUGGAGAGAAAGGGAGAGAAGAUUGACAGAGGAAGAAGGGGGCAUUGCUCAUGGGUGGCUGGCAGUGGUGCUAGUAGUGUUGGGAGGGGAGCAAAAGAGGGAGGGGAGUCGUUGUGUUGGGAAGGGAGAGAGAGAGGGAUUGAUGGAGUAAGUGUUAAAAGUUGAGGCAAAUUUCCUUAUUUGUAAUUAGAAUUUUGACAAGGCUCCAGAUAGGACUAGGAUUAAUAAACACAGAUGCUUUCCAAGUUCCAAUGCAAUUGUCCGCUGGUGUGGAAGAAAACAAUCCCACUCAAAGGAGGGCAAGCAUCCAUCAAGAUAGAAGAGAUUUAGAUGAAAGAGAAAACUACCAUAGUUCAGGAUCAACCCAUGAUGCUUAGAAGGAAUGAAUUUACGAAGAGUGGAUGGUCGGAAUGAAGUUGUAAAAGAUGAGGGAGUUCCUGAAGAUGGACCAAUAUGGUUUGCACCAUAUAAGGUGAAGUGCUUAUGUGCAAAUCAUUCUUCCUCAUUGAUGCGCAAGCGCACAAACCCACUGCACUCAGAAAUCUGCACUUAGCUGAAAAAAGGUUUUGAGCUUUAGUCUUGUUUUGGUGAACCAGGGGUUGCCAUUGAGGUGACUUUACUAAAGUUGUUCAUGAAUUGCAGUCGUGAAGCUAGAUGUUAUUGGCUUGCUUGGGAUGUAAAGAGAGGGAGAUAGAGAGGUGUAAACAGAAGAGACAUACCUAUACAUAAGCUUGGCAAGAUUGGAUUGAGUAUUAGGCCUCUAGGAAGCUAAUAGUAGAUUGAUCAUUCGGAAGUACACUGUUAUGUGUCGGUUGAGAAAGGAGUAAAGGUAAAUUUACAGAGACAAGACAGUAAUAACAAAACUCUUUCUUAUAUUAUUAUCAUUUCAUUAAAAAAUUGAAAACGACAAUUGCUAAUCAUUUACUAAAUUGUUCAUACCAACAUUUCUGUUAGAUGUUCAAAAGAUAUGAACUGCUUAUGUGGCCACAUAUGCAUGCUACAUACUGCAUAUGUACUAUACGAUGGUAUGCAGUAUCGUACCAAACCAAAUGGUAUAGGAUGCAUUACCGUACCGGCCUCGUACUAUACCAUACCAAUACAGUGAUAACAUGGCACCAGUAUGGGGCUCUGUAUCGAGACGGCAUAUCUUUUCUAUACAAUGAUUUAACUACACACAUACCACUUCCACUUUUUAACAUGUUGGUCUACUUUCAAUUAAGAUUAGAUGAAAUUGGGUUAAAUCUCUGAAACUAGACUGAAAUCCACCAGUUUUUGUUGAACCUAGGUUUCCAUAUCAUUCUUGAGUGAAACUGGGUUUCACUGGUUAGCUUUGGGUUGGUUUCCCCAAAAGUUCAAAUAUUUGGGCUCAAGAAGCAGGAUAUUGUCUAGGAAUUUAUUUGAACAUGGCUAAGGAGAAAUACGUGUACAACUUAGAAAUCGUAUAACUGAAAGUCUGAAACUAUUCUUUAGUACUUUGCUUGCUUGUGGCAUAAGAGAAAUUAGGAUAGAUGGUGAAGUUCAAGAAAAAAGAGAGAGGAUGUGGUUCUUCAUAGUAAUUUCUUACUCUCUUUCCUUUUCAUCAGCUUGUUUCUCUUGACUUUAGCUUUUUUCUCUUCAAGAAGGAUUCCUUUAUAAUAUUGGUUAUCAUCGACCUUGUUCUGUGGGACCCAGCAUCAUCUACUGUACUGACCAGUUGAUAUUGUUGCUGUUGAAAUCAGAGUUACAGUUUUAUGUCCUAUAUUACUACAUUAUAACUAUUUCCAUCGCACCAUUUCUUUGUGGCAUACACCAAAUUCUCUGCUUCAUAAGCUAAAUUCAAUGGAGUAUUGCAGUCAUACUGAACUAAUUAAGCACCUCCUGGUUCCAGGUUUCAGAGAUGGUUUUACCCCUAUGAUUAUGAAAUUGUUCAGGAGAUUCACAAGAAUGACCCUGAAGAUAGCAGCAGGAUUGAGUUGCUGGAGGUUGCCAAUCAUCUAACACCAGAUGAAGCUAGGAGCUAUGCGAUUUCCCAGCUUCCCCGGGAAAAAUCCAAGCACACUGGUUUUGCUUUUGAUUCACCAGGUUAUGAGUCAUUUUUCGCAUCACAGCAAGGUGUUUUUGCACCACAAAAGGCUUGGGAUGUAGCCCGUAGAGCCAGUAUGAGAUCGCAGCAAAGAAAACCGAGAAGCUGAUUUAUUUUUUAUCUAUGUACAUUUUUGUCAUUGACCUCACGAGCUGAUAUAUAUGUAGUUGUACCAUAAUUCUUGCCUUUUGUUUUUCUUUUGUUUUUUGUUCUUUUUGUAUUUUUACACUUGUUAGAUGUUUUUUUUCUGGUAGUGCACUUGUUAGAUGUUUAUUCGUUUCCUUGGUUACACAUAUAAGCUCAAGGAAAAUGCAACUGCAGAGGGUCUCUUUCUGGAAAUUCUCAAUGCCAUUUCUGGUGAUUGUACCCUUAUUUCUUUUUUUCAUUUCCUGUGUUUCUGCCUUCAACCGUUCUAUACCAUCUUUGUGCAUUUACUACAUUCACACUGACAAUUAAGUUAUAACAGGUAAUAAAAAUGCAUGUUUGGACUUUAAAAUGGAUGAUUCACAUUCAUGAUGUCCUUGAACAGUUUCAUGUACAAAUUGGAAAGUUAUACAUCGAGCUAACUAAAUGACGUGCAAUGCAUCUAUGCUAGCCUGAUAAAAUCUUACAAGUUCCCGUUUGCUGGUAAGCCUUGCUAUUAGCUAAAAACGAAGUGGAUUUGAGUUCAUUCACCCUGCAACUGAUAUAGGUGUUGAGCGUGCAAUGAUAUCGACUCCUUGGACGGUAGCUGGUCAUAGUAAAAUGUGUGAUGCCUAAGUAAAUAGUUCUUUCAAGACUCAUCAUUUUACUGGGCUAAAGAGGAUCUUAAAAUCAUAGCCAAUCAGUACAAAGCUUGUGAGCAUUAUGCAAAGAAUUACCGUACAGCGGUAAAAAGAUCCUCAAUCUCACUCGGAGUGAGUUUGUUAUGUUAUAGCACUCACAAGGCACAUUUUGAUUUGAUUUGACCACUUCCGCUUGAUUGCACCACCCCAUAAUGUCACGCAGAAAACUGAUGCUGCCACCGAGCAGGGAGUCAGAAAUAGGGAGAUCAUAUGAGCAGGAUCCAGUUUUUGCACUUCAAAUCCUAGAUCAAGAAAGUAUAUCACUGUGGUGCACCCAAAAACCAUCAAGGCGCAGAGACCAAAGGGUUUUAGAGAAGGAUGAUUUGGUCAUCUACAUGGAUAGAUCCCAUAUUUCUAAUCUAUGCAUUAUUUUAAAAAUAGUUAACAUGAUAUCAUAUGGUUUGUGUCCUUUCCACCUUUUUUUGAUACAAUCUUUUCCUUACCUUUUUGUUUUCCUUCCUGACCUUAAGUGCUGUCUUGCCCUUGGUUGUUGCUUCCCUAACCUUCUGUAACUUGGUUCUUUUGCAUCUGUUCCUUCCUGGACCCUUACAAGUCGUUGAGUUGUGCCCCCACUCUUAGGAAUUACAACAUAAGAGUGAAAUUACCUGUUUUGGCCUACAAGGAUGUGCCCUUAGGAAAGGGAUAGCAAUAGGUUCAUACGGAGUUUAGAGCUAUGAUUGCAUAUCGAGGGCUGGUUGAAUAAUGGUCUCUUAUGCCCUUAUGUAUGUUUUCCUAAAAUACCAUUCACUAACAUAACCCUCAGCAUCCUUUCUCAUGAACAUUUUGGCUGCCAUAGAUGAUGGCAUGGGAUGUUAGAAAUAUACUAUUUUCUGCAUCCAUAGACCCUUUCUCCCAAUUUCACCAUAAAACUUUCAUUUUCAUAGUCAAUUUCAAACCUCUCCCUCCUAAAGGACAAUGGCAGUGCAUUGCUCCUAUCUCGACUUUCUCUAACUUCUUUAGAAUUUUUAGACAAAUGCAGCUUUCAAAUUUGCUAACGCCCUCUGUUUGCUUGAAAUCUAUCCACCAGCAAUCUUCUUAUUAUCUUCAACAUGAUGAUACUCUGCUUAUCUUUUGUAUCAAUAAUAUUCUUGUUGAAGGAUUCACAAAUAUUAUUUAGCAUGGCUAACCUGGGUUUGGGGAUAAAUGCAUGUCCUUACCAUUGCUCCACAUGUUGUUUUCUCAGCCACUGGCAAGCUCUCUCAUCCAAAUUCUCCAUCUCCUUCAUGGUUUUUUCAAAGUCAUACUUGCUUUAGCAUAGUUCCACAAGGCAGUCUUGAAAUCUCUUGUACCCUUCUUUUAAGAAAUUUACACAUAUGUACCCUAGAAUCUAUGAUCUGAAAUUGGAAGUGUUGCUGGAAAUUGGACCCGGGGGCGAUCGUCCGUCGAGGAGGGGGAGCUGUCGGCGGACGCGAGGGAGUCAUGAUGCGUCGGCGGGCGGCGUCCUCUGUCGGGGUGCCUGCAGAAAAGCCGGUGGCCGGGGCUUCCGGCGCCGGCCCUCCGAUGCUUAAGUUAGAGGAGGCAAAAUAGUGUUUAAAGAAAAUGGGAGCAGUCGUCUUUUUUUUCUNNNNNNNNNNNNNNNNNNNNAAAACCGUAUUUCCCCAACAGGAAGCAAGAAUUGGAAAGUCUCCACAAGACCCUGCAUAUGAGACAACAAAAGUUAGUUCGGAAGAGUUAUUUAUCAAAUAGCUAAUAGGUGCAUAUCUAAUAGUAUUAAAGUAUUGAUACCUACCUUUUGUCUGUUAGACAUGAAUAUCCACCUAUGCUCUUCCUCAGACCAAAUAUCAGCAAGAAGAUGAGUUAGAAACUAGAGCAAAUUAACUCUCUUUGGUCUCUACCUUAACAACCUACUAUUCAAUAGGGUAUAGGUUGUCGUUGCCAUCUUUUCUAAAUACUACUAGCAAUUGGCCUGAAAAACAUCCUUUUUGAUGGCAGCCAUAGACUAAUCAAAGGUCUACAUCCUUGUACAAAAUCCUUUUUACAGGCAUCAAGACAAACAUACAACCUCUUGAAUAUAGGCCUUCUAUUUUCACCAGACCUUUGCACAUCCAACAACACUAUAUUGCCAAUCACCUCACACUAUUCCCACAGAUGCCCAAACAGCUCCUUAUGGCUUUCCUGUAUAAUCUAAAUCGCAUUUCUCUUUGUUUUGUAGCAUUGUGUCUUAGAUACAAACAACUUCACAUCCCCCUAACAUUCUCCUUAAAUCCUUUCAAACUUCAUUUGUUAUCAGACCUAAUAUCCUCUAUCUCUCAGCUAGACUCGUAGAGUAAAACUUUAUAUUUGUAAAACCACCUUUCAUAAUUGUGCAUAUGAUGAAAGGUUUUAAUCUAGAAAAUAUCUUCCCUUUGCAUUGGAGAUGCAUGUAUUCUCCAUCUCUAUUCCUUCUUGCAAAUUGUUGUGACCCUCCAUUUAUCAUUAUUCUUAUAUUGAAAUCAAAUUCCUCUUGAAUGGAGUACAACCUAUAGGCUUUCUCAAGUACCUUAUGAUUAUUGAGUUUCAUUCCAAAAUGGAGCUUGAUAGGUUUCUUAAAGUCAGAUCACUCAUUGAAUUUGGGAAAUCUUAAAGUCUAUUCCAAAAUGGAGCUUGAUAGGCUUCUCAGAUCACUAUCAUUGUCAUCAUUAGACUGUGGUUCCUUUUCUUCACUGCAAGCAUACACCAGUACAUCAUCUACAACAUUAAGCUUAGACUAUUUAAUAUACUUCCUCAAGUUUAUCGACAAUCUUCUCAAACAAGUCACCAUCUAGUUCAUUAUUAGACUUUCUUAGUUUGCUAAGAGCAACUAAGUCAGUAUCACUCGAAUUAUUGUCACUGCGACCUGCUCCAUUCUCCUCAUCUUCAUGUUCAAUAGGUGCCUUCCCAUUGUCUUCUACCACUACCACCUCUAUAGUUUCUUCCCCUACCUUCGCCUAGCGAUCUUCAUAUCACCCAUAUUGGCAGCCUCGUUGGUUACUUCAACUGACCCACCCUUCUGUCUUGCAUUCAUCGGCACUUGUUUUAACAAGAUCAUGAACCUUCUCUUCACACCAUUGUUCCUGGCACAACCAAGCCCCCUUUUUUAUGUGGCUAGACCUAUUCAUGGGCUGGGUCGAGACCGAGCUUAGGAUGCACUUUGCCUAAAGGUCAACACUAUAUUCUUAGGUCCAAGCCUAGCAUUCGGACCUACGUUCCAAGCCCAAUCUCAGCCAUCACUCAAGCUUUAGGCUUGGAGCGAGCCUUUGGCUUCAUGAUCAGAUCAUAUUUUAAAAACAUGCUAAAAAAAUACUCAAAGUAAUAAUUCAUAAAAAUUAAUGUAAUCAAGAUCUUAUAUAACUAAUUCUUACAAUCAAUUGUUUCAAAGUGACAUAAGUCAGCAUAUGCUUAAUUAUUUAUUUAAAUCAAAUAAAAUAUUUUAACUAGUCUAAAUAGUCUAACUAGAACUCUAAAAAAAAAAAAUAUCUUCAGAAGAUCUAGCGCACUCCUCAAGUCCUGAGCAAUCAUGAUCUAGAUUCAAAAAAUAGAGAAAGAAAAGAUAAUGAGCUACACUAGCGCAGCAAGCAACAUAAUGCCUCAAAUAAGGUCUAAACAUGUCAAAUAAAUAAUUUAUUAAAGAGCAAAAUAUUUACUAAAAAUAAAUUAAUUUUUAAAUAAUAUAUAUAUCUUUUUUGAAGUUUACUAUUAUUUUCAUGAAUUGAUACUAGAAACCCAAUAUCAGGCUAUGGCCACGUAACCCAGUGGUAUAGUCAGAUUGCACAAAGUACCAAAUACCACUAUUUUUAACUACCGGUGGUUCGAUGUCCAAAUACUGUUAUUCUAAUCACCGGUGAUUCAGUGUCAAAACUAGUUUCUCAAAUUAUAAGUAGACAGGGCCAACAAGUAAUCUCCAUUAGCGGGGCCAGAUCAAAACCGUGUUGAGAAUACAUACAUAUGAAACAAAUUUCAUAAUUUAUCCAAUCAUAGUUUUCAAAUUUUAUAACAUAACAUAUAACAUAUUUUAAAAUAAUUACUAUCAUACUCAAAUUUAAUUAUUAUUUUAUCAAAAAUUUAGAAAAUAUACUUUGAAGCAUUAGAUUACUUACCUUUUCUUGCUUUAAAAGUCCACUUCAGUUAGACGGGCCACGUUCAUCUGUUUUAAUAUAAUUAAAAUAUAAUUAAUUUCAUCAUCUUAGAAGCCAAACAAAGUCAAAACUUAAAAUAUUAUUGGGGAUACGAUCUUAUGCCCCUAAAUUUGAUUGGUUAAGUGGCAAUGCCUUACUGCUUGGGUCGGUUCGAGCAAGGUGAACUCAACUGGUCAGGUUAAGACAUGAUUUAUGGCCUAGGUAAUGGGUCGAUCUACCGCCUAGAUACCGGGGCGGUUCAGGACCUCCACACUAGGUUAACUUGGAUCCGCGAAAAAAGAAAAACAAGGCUUACACUAAGAUUCCUAAGCCUACCUAGAUAGAGAAAGAGGUAGAAGAGAGAUAACUUCAGUCUGGGUUAAAUCAAGGGUUUGGUCUGGUCUUGGUUGUCAAUGGCAUGAAUCAUUCCUGUCUCUAAUCUACAGGACAAACCAGAGAAGUCAAUCAUUUUUUUAAAUAAAUAAAUAAAUAAAUCAGAAUAAAAUGGAAAGAAAAAGAAGAAAUAAGAAGAAGAAUAAAAGGGGAGAAAGAGAGGGAAGAGUAGAGGAAAGAGAAAAGAGGAAAGAGGAAAGAGGAAAGAGGCUGGGGUACUGCCGGAGGUCUAGCAGCACGGCCCCAGAGAGCCGGCGGCGGCGGCAACUAUGGCGGCAGCCGGUGGAGGUGGCAAGACCGAGAAGGUCUCAGUUUGGCACAAAAGCAAGAGAAUGGCAGCUCAAAUUAGGUUCACUCGCAUUGUAAUCACAUGAAGGGGGUGAGGGAGUUACCAAGGGCGGUGGUGGCAAUGGAGCUUGGCCGGAGAUGGUGGUCUUCGAUGAGCUUUGCUGUGGCAAGGCUCGGAAUAGGGAAAAUAGGACAACAAAAGGCUUCUAGAGAGAGAAGAUGGGAGUUUGGCAGCAAUGCUCGGUUGAGGUGCUGCGGUGGCCACUGGAGAAGAAAUAAAAAGAGGGAGGAGAGUUUUUGAGGUAGAUCUAGCCGAGGGGACUCAAAAAUUUCUAGAAAUUUUGGGAGAAGUGAUAAGCUCGAAUCAAGCGACCUUCGCUAGUUGCAGCGGCCCCCAACGGCCACCGGUUGUUCGCACCGACUUGGCAAAUCCUCAACGGCCACAACUAAGGUGGCCUUAUCCCAACCGCCUGAGGAUUGGGCAAAAGAGAAACGCAACAUCCUUUUGUGUUUCGAUCCCCUUUUUUUGCGGUUUUCUGAUUGAAGUCAGUGGGCAUUGUCGACUUCAAUCUGGGAUGGGCCCAAUUGGGCCAAUUCUCCCAUGCAAUGCACUGAUUCAAACGUAGAAAUUGUCCUUUCAAUGAUGAUGUGUGCCCCUCAUUGAUCUACAUCAUCAUUAAUUUUUUUGUCUAGAAUUGAUCUAGACCUCUAAAAAUCUAGUAGAACAAGCCCAAGCCAUCUAAAUUACUAUCUAGGUUUGAUAUAAAAUGCAUCCAACCCAGUUCAUUAGCCCGAUCCAACUUGUUAUAGUUAAAAUCUCGUUCUCCAACCCAAAAACAAAAAAAGGAGGAAAUAACUUUAUGAAUAGUCGCUAUAACUUUUUGAAUCAAGUUAAAUUUGGUCAUCCAUAAAACCAUGUUCAUUAGGGGACCGGGUUGUAUCUUUUGCACGUGAAAGAAUGAUUAACCUUCCUUCAAGUGAAAUCAUCAUUGGAUCACAUGCUACAUAAAUCUCAAAGCACUCUGAAGUCUAAUAUCUUCCAUCGGCAUAGAUCUCAAGGCAGGCAGCUGAUGAUCCAACGGUGGUUUUGCACGGAGAAAGGUUAAUCAUUCUUUUUUGUGAAAGAUACAUGCUUGUCCCGUUCAUUAGGUUUACCCCUUCUCUCCAAACUCCUAUUAGAAACAGAGGUUAAUUGCCUUACAAUUAUCAGGAUUUCAAUUCUCCUCUCUAAUGUCAAAUAGGAGUUUUGGUACCAGACCAUUGGUCCAUUCCCUCUUAUAUCUCUAGCCUUCCUUUGUUCUUGUCCUUAGCUCUCUCUCUCUCUCUCUCUCCAAAUUUGUUACUUCUGUGAUGACCGAGUGCCACUUUUCAACCAGAUCCUACUUGGACUGGUAGCAACUCGGGAUGAUAUAUCAAUACAUUUAGCAAUUCUCUAUGGUCAUGCUAUCCAUAGCAACAACAAGAAAGAGCAUGGCUAUAUCACCUUCAAGUCCUUAACUAUUCAUUCUCAUCUAUUAUGUAUCCAUCACAAAGUAAGGUAAUACGCAAAAACAAACAAAUAAAAGAUGUUUUGUGGACCUCGAGCAUCAUGUUUGUACUUCAAAUAUAUGUGUAGGAAUAUAGUGCUAUUUUUUUUCAAUUGAAUGGAUUUGAAUGCUUUAUAGCAUAUGUGAAGCUUCAACUUUAUUACAUAGAGUUUCAAUUUUCUGCAGACAAAUGAGGAUGUUAUGGUGAUGCUAAUAUAAUUCAACAGUUGUAGGUUUCCAUGUGAUUUUUGAUAAGUUUUGGGCACAUUCAAGUGCAAAAUAAUUGAUAGAUGUGAUUGUAUCUGAGGAAGCACUGACAAAUAUAUGAUCCAAGACACUAUUAAUCCUUGAAUUGUUAUGCUAAAAAUUUGACAUAGAAAAAAAUGUGUCUGAUCUUGAAACAAAAUAUUUUAAAUCUCAAUAUAUCAUCAGUUGUCUCAGAGGGGGCUGACACCAAGACAAAUGAACGCUAAAAAAGAAAUAAUAUUUUUUAGUACUAUUUAGAGUCCUGACCGAUGCUUAUAAGCGUCGGUACAUUUCGGGCCGAUGCUUUCAAAAGCGUCGUGAAAGCAUCGAGCAAGUGGGGGUGGGAUUUUUUCUUUCCGACGUUUUUUGAAAGCGUCGGCAUUACCUAACUCUAUGCCGACGCUCAAAAGCCGACGCUUUUGAGCGUCGCGUCGUUUGGAGCUAACUGACGCUUAAAAACAUCGGGCAAUAUAGGCCCAUGCUUCCAUGGGUCGGCUUGCGUUGGACUUUGCCGACGCUUAUUAGUCGCGUCGGCCCAAGCUAGGGCCUUCGCCGACGUUUUAAAGCAUCAGUAAAGACAUGCCGUGCUGUGCCAGUUUGCUUAAUGCCGAUGCUUUAACGCAUCAGCAAAGGCCAGCCGUGCCAUGCCGAGUUGGUUAUUGCCGACGCUUCCGAGUUGGUUAUUGUCGACGCUUUUAAGCGUCGGCAAUAAUGAUUUUUUUUUUAAAUUAAAGAAGGAACAAAACCCACAAACACA
rnacentral:lncRNA from 1 species